rnacentral:lncRNA from 1 species
ACGUCUUCAUGUACAGAGGGGACACGCCCUUCUGCAGCGAGGAGUGCCGGCGCGAGCAGAUGCACCUCGACGCCGUCUCCGACAGGCAGGCCGCGCGGAGGCUGCAGCGGUUCACGGCGGAGGCGGAGUGCCACCGUGGGCAGCGGCAGUCCAGGAAGGUGUCCAUCGCGAGCUAGCCGGCCGGGAGCGGAGGGUUUUGUUUGGAUCGACAAGAUCUAANNNNNNNNNNNNNNNNNNNNNNNNNNNNNNNNNNNNNNNNNNNNNNNNNNNNNNNNNNNNNNNNNNNNNNNNNNNNNNNNNNNNNNNNNNNNNNNNNNNNAAGGCUUUGUGUUGAACUACAACAUGCAAGGGAUGAACAAGUCUCCCGACGAGUUGUUUGCGAUGCUGAAAGUCGCAGAGUCUGAACUACGUAAAGAGCAUCAAGUGUUGAUGGUGAGCAAGACCACUAGUUUCAAGAGAAACGGCAAAGGCAAGAAGGGCAAUUCGAAGAAGAGCGGCAAGCCUGUUGCCAAUCCGCCGAAGAAACCCAAGGCUGGGCCUAAGCCUGAAACAGAGUGCUUCUAUUGCAAGGGUAUGGGUCACUGGAAGCGCAAUUGCCCCAAGUAUCUAGCAGAUAAGAAGGCGGGCAAAGAAAAAUCAGGUAUAUUUGAUAUACAUGUUAUUGAUGUGUACUUAACCGGCUCUUGUAGUAGUGCCUGGGUAUUCGAUACCGGUUCUGUUGCUCAUAUUUGCAACUCGAAACAGGAACUGCGGAAUAGACGAAGGCUCGCGAAAGAUGAAGUGACGAUGCGCGUAGGAAAUGGUUCCAAGGUUGAUGCAAUCGCCGUCGGCACAGUUUCACUUAGUUACCAUCAGGAUUAGUCACGAACUUAAAUCAUUGUUAUUUAGUGCCUGCGUUGAGCAUGAACAUUAUAUCUGGAUCUUUUUAUUGCGAGACGGUUACUCUUUUAAGUCAGAGAAUAAUGGUUGUUCUAUUUCUAUGAGUAACAUCUUUUAUGGUCAUGCACCAAAUGUGAGAGGAUUGUUCAUAUUGAAUCUUGAUAGCGAUAUGCAUAUACAUAACAUUGAGACCAAAAGAGUUAGAGUUAACAAUGAUAGCGCCAUAUUUUUGUGGCACUGCCGCUUAGGUCAUAUUGGUGUAAAGCGCAUGAAGAAACUCCAUGCUGAUGGACUUUUGAAGUCACNNNNNNNNNNNNNNNNNNNNNNNNNNNNNNNNNNNNNNNNNNNNNNNNNNNNNNNNNNNNNNNNNNNNNNNNNNNNNNNNNNNNNNNNNNNNNNNNNNNNGAGGAGGAGCCUAGUUCCUACUCGCCAGCCGGCGCAGGCCCACCUACCGGUCCCUGCCAAACCUAGCGCCACGGGAGAGCCCUCGCUCGUUUCCCUCCUGCGCCGUCGAGUCCGUCACGUCCGCCCGACCCCCUCUUUGUUUCCUCCUCUCGUUCCUCCCCUCCAGCCGAUCCCGAUCUCGUCCCAUCCCCCCUUCCCCGAUUCCCCUUGACCUCGCCGCCAUCCGGCCGCGCCGCGCCCCCAGCUCCCCAUGCCCCGCGCGCUGCCCAGCCCCACCGGUGCCCUCGUCGCGAGCAGCUGUUCCCCGCGUGCCGCCUUCGCUCCGCCAUGGUUGCCAGGGUCCCGCCGGUCGUCUCUCCGCCAUGGCCUCGCCCUCGCCAUCCUCCCGGUCGCCGCCAUGGCCUGCCGCCGGUUGCUCGCCUCGGCCUCUCCCCUGCACCCGCUCGUCGCCCUGCCCGCCGUGCUGGCUCCCGCCUUCUUACUCGACUGCCGCCGCGGCCUCCCUGCUCGCCGGAGGUUCCCCGGUCGCCGCCUUGUGCUUGCCCUGCGCCGCGCCGCCCUGCCGCCAUGGUGCUGCUGCCGCCUGUGUUGCGUGUUGAUGUUGCUGUUGCUGCCAGCGAAGCUGCUGCUUGUCGUAUUUGCUUGCCUGCCGCGUUGCUGUUGGCUGCAUAGAUGGUGUAGUUCCUGCCCGAGUGCUAGCUAGUGGCCCUGUAGGUUGCUAGCUGCUGCUUUUAGCCGCUGCCGCUGUAGCUGCUUGUCGUUGCUUGCUAUUCUGCUGCUCCGCUAUGUCGGUCGGCUGUGCUGAUUGGUUGAUGUGCCGAUAGCUGUAGCUGCUUGUUGUUGUUGCCGCUGCCUGACGCCGUUGCUAGUGCUGUUGCGUAGUACUGCUGUAGCGGCUUGUGUGCUCGCUUGUCGUUUUGCUAUCUAGGCUAGGUUGCCGUGCUUGGCAUGCUUGCUGUAGAUGCAUAGCUGCGUUUGUUGUUGCUUAGUGUUGUAGUUGCUAUAGCUAUUGCCCUGGCUGCUGCAUGCCGAUUGCCUUGCGUGAGGCUUGCAUUUUGUUGUUGCGUGUUGCUGCCGCACGCGUCGCCACGUGCGCCGUUCCCCUCCGCCGAGGAACCGACAAGAUCAUCGUGCACCACGUCGUCCUCGACGGCCUCUUCGGAAACGUGUUCGACUCCCGAUGCCGAAGAUCGUCUACCAACGCAAGAGAACGACUACCGUCGACGAGACCAUGUACGACGGCUUCCAGGACGACCGUUGGUCCGCUACGACCCGAACCACUUCGAAUAGCACGCCUCAAAAGGUAUACCGUGGGAACGUUGUCGUCACCGUGUGCAUGUGAUGUAUGAGUUGAAUGUAUGUUGCACCGUAUGUUGCCCGUGGCACGUUGUGUUCCUCUUUCGUUGUGCCCUCGACACAUGGGAACCCGGUAACCGGGAUCACCUCAUCUUUAUUUACCGUUCCCGCACGCGUUCCCAGUACGUUGGCACGAUAUCUCGACGAGUUAUUGGGAUAGGAACGUUGCCGUGGCAUUGUUUCCGUUUUGCCGCCAUGGUUCGUUUUCGCUCGCCGUGGCGACACCUUGCUUCUUUCCCUUCUUGCCGUGAUGUUGAUGAACUUUCAUGCAUGACGCAUUCAUGGCAUAUAUCGUGUGUUGCAUGCCUCUUGUGCCGUAGCUCCGUUCUAUGCUCCGCGUGUUAACCGACUAGGAUGACUUUAGGAUCUCGCUUCACCCCUUGCCAUGUUAAAAACAUUUAAUCUUGCCGAUAAAUUAACGGAGUGAACUAAAAAAUUAAUCGUGGAGUUUCGUCGAUAUGCAACCCGUUGCAUAUCGAGCUUCACUUAAUGUGUAGAGUUUGCGUGAGGUGAAUUGCCAUCCCAUCCCUUGCAUCACUGAACUGAUCAUGCAUCAUAUUAGGUUGUGCAUCAUGUUGUGCAUCGUGUGGUGAAUAUUUGCGUUGAUGUCUGUUUCCGGUUUGCUCCGUUCCGAUAGAGUUCCGCAAGCGUGUCGGCAUGUGAGGACCCGUUCGACUACGUUGGUUUGCCGACUCCACCGAGUUGUUCUUCUUCCAAGCGGGAUCUCAGGCAAGAUGACCAUUUCCCCAUAUACCAUUACUAUCAUUGCCAUGCUAGUUUUACCGCUUCUAUCGUUUAUGUCUCGUUGCCUACCACAUGUUUACAUAUCAGCCUCUCAACAAUGCCAUGAUAACCUUCAACUGUUCAACCUAGCAAACCACUGUUUGGCUAUGUUACUGCUUGCUUAACCAUGUUGUAGCGUUGCUAGUUGCAGGAGUAGUUGCUUCCAUGUGAUAACAUGGGUUCCUUCUCAUAUCACCAUAUAUUAAUGCUAUUUAAUUUAAUGGACCUAUAUACUUGGUAAAAGGUGGAAGGCUCGUCCUUUCUAGCCUGGUGUUUUGUUCCACCUUUGCCCCCUUAGUUUCGGCUAUGGGUGUUAUGUUCCAUAAAUGAGCGCUCCUAACACGAUCGGGGUUGUUAUGGGGACCCCCUUGAUAAUUCGUUUUAGAUUAAAGCUGGUCUGGAAAGGCCCAACUUUGGUACUACAUUUGCCUAAUAACUAAUGAACUGCAUAGGGAGUAAUUAACCCGAGGAAAUUUAAUCAACCCCCGGGCCAGUGCUCCUCAUGAGUGUUGGUCCAAAAACAGAGCUGUUGGGGAACGUCGCAUGGGAAACAAAAAUUUUCCUACGUGCACGAAGACCUAUCAUGGUGAUGUCCAUCUACGAGAGAGGAUGAGUGAUCUACGUACCCUUGUAGACCGUAUAGCAGAAGCGCUAGUGAACGCGGUUGAUGUAGUGGAACGUCCUCACGUCCCUCGAUCCGUCCCGCGAACAAUCCCGCGAUCAGUCCCACGAUCUAGUACCGAACGGACGGCACCUCCGCGUUCAGCACACGUACAGCUCGACGAUGAUCUCGGCCUUCUUGAUCCAGGAAGAGAGCCGGAGAGGUAGAAGAGUUCUCCGGCAGCGUGACGACGCUCCGGAGGUUGGUGAUGACCUUGUCUCAGCAGGGCUCCGCCCGAGNNNNNNNNNNCUCUAGUUCUUCGGCAGCGUGAUGGCGCUCCGGAGGUUGGUGAUGACCUUGUCUCAGCAGGGCUCCGCCCGAGCUCCGCACAAACGCGAUCUAGAGAAAAAACCGUGGAGGUAUGUGGUCGGGCUGCCGUGGAAAAGUCGUCUCANNNNNNNNNNNNNNNNNNNNNNNNNNNNNNNNNNNNNNNNNNNNNNNNNNNNNNNNNNNNNNNNNNNNNNNNNNNNNNNNNNNNNNNNNNNNNNNNNNNNNNNNNNNNNNNNNNNNNNNNNNNNNNNNNNNNCCUUGCCUUGGGGCUCAAGGAGCCCCAAGGGGGUCGGCCGAGUCCAAGGGGGAAGGUUCCCCCCCCCCAAACCGAGUUGGACUUGGUUUGGGGGGAGGGAGUCCUUCCUUCCCUUCCCACCUCCUCCUUUUUUUUCUCCUUGAUUUUCUUCUCUAGGCGCAUAGGGCCCUCUUGGGCUGUCCCACCAGCCCACUAAGGGCUGGUGCACCACCAUCAUGGCCUAUGGGCUUCCCCGGGGUGGGUUGCCCCCCCGGUGAACUCCCGGAACCCAUUCAUCAUUCCCGGUACAUUUCCGGUAACUCCGAAAACCUUCCGGUAAUCAAAUGAGGUCAUCCUAUAUAUCAAUCUUCGUUUCCGGACCAUUCCGGAAACCCUCGUGACGUCCGUAUUCUCAUCCGGGACUCCGAAAAACAUUCGGUAACCAACCAUAUAACUCAAAUACGCAUAAAACAACGUCNNNNNNNNNNNNNNNNNNNNNNNNNNNNNNNNNNNNNNNNNNNNNNNNNNNNNNNNNNNNNNNNNNNNNNNNNNNNNNNNNNNNNNNNNNNNNNNNNNNNUAGAAGAGUUCUCCGGCAGCGUGACGGCGCUCCGGAGGUUGGUGAUGAUCUUGUCUCAGCAGGGCUCCGCCCGAGCUCCGCAGAAACGCGAUCUAGAGGAAAAACUAUGGAGGUAUGUGGUCGGGCAGCCGUGAGAAACUCGUCUCAAAUCAGCCCUAAUUGCUCCAUAUAUAUAGGAGGAGGGAGGGGGACCUUGCCUUGGGGUCCAAGGGACCCUCACGGGGUCGGCCGAGCCAAGGGGGGGAGGACUCCCCCCCCCAAACCGAGAUGGACUUGGUUUGGUGGGAGGAGUCCCCCUCCCUUCCCACUUCCUCCCUCUUUUUUUUUCUUUUCCUUUGAUUUCUUUUUCUUGGCGCAUAGGCUCCCUUGGGGCUGUCCCACCAGCCCACUAAGGGCUGGUGUGUCUCCCCAAAGCCUAUGGGCUUCCCCGGGGUGGGUUGCCCCCCCCNNNNNNNNNNGGGGAGGACUCUCCCCCCCCAAACCGAGUUGGACUAGGUUUGGUGGGAGGGAGUCCUUCCCCUUUCCCACUUCUUCCUUUAUUUUUCUUUUCUCCUUUGAUUUUUAUCCUUGGCGCAUAGGGCACUUGUGGGCUGUCCCACCAGCCCACUAAGGGCUGGUGUGGCUCCCCAAAUGCCUAUGGGCUUCCCCGGGGUGGGUUGCCCCCUCCCGGUGAACUCCCAGAACCCAUUCGUCAUUCCCGGUACAUUCCCGGUNNNNNNNNNNCCUUUCCCACUUCUUCCUUUUUUUUCUCCUUUGAUUUUUAUCCUUGGCGCAUAGGGCACUUGUGGGCUGNNNNNNNNNNNNNNNNNNNNNNNNNNNNNNNNNNNNNNNNNNNNNNNNNNNNNNNNNNNNNNNNNNNNNNNNNNNNNNNNNNNNNNNNNNNNNNNNNNNNAUAAUGUUCAUGCUCAACGCAGGCACUAAAUAACAAUGAUUUAAGUUCAUCACUAAUCCUGAUGGUAACUGAAGUGAAACUGUGCCGACGACGAUUGCAUCAACCUUGGAACCAUUUCCUACGCGCAUCGUCACUUCAUNNNNNNNNNNNNNNNNNNNNNNNNNNNNNNNNNNNNNNNNNNNNNNNNNNNNNNNNNNNNNNNNNNNNNNNNNNNNNNNNNNNNNNNNNNNNNNNNNNNNNNNNNNNNNNNNNNNNNNNNNNNNNNNNNNNNNNNNNNNNNNNNNNNNNNNNNNNNNNNNNNUAGGCACUACUACGAGAGACGGUUAAGUACACAUCAAUAACAUAUAUAUCAAAUAUACCUGAUUUUUCUUUGGCCGCCUUCUUAUCUGCCAGAUACUUGGGGCAAUUGCGCCUCCAAUGACCCAUACCCUUGCAAUAGUAACACUCCGUUUCAGGCUUAGGUCCAGCUUUGGGUUUCUUCGUCGGAUUGGCAACAGGCUUGCCGCUCUUCUUCGAAUUACCCUUCUUGCCUUUGCCGUUUCUCUUGAAACUAGUGGUCUUAUUCACCAUCAACACUUGAUGCUCUUUACGGAGUUCAGACUCUGCGACUUUUAGCAUCGCAAACAACUCGCCGGGAGACUUUUUCAUCCCUUGCAUGUUGUAGUUCAACACAAAGACUUUAUAGCUUGGCGGCAGUGAUUGAAGGAUUCUGUCAGUGAUAGCCUCUUGCGGGAGUUCAAUCCCCAGCUCAGCUAGACGGUUUGAGUACNNNNNNNNNNCAGCAUCGCAAACAACUCGCCGGGAGACUUGUUCAUCCCUUGCAUGUUGUAGUUCAACACAAAGCCUUUAUAGCUUGGCGACAGUGAUUGAAGGAUUCUGUCAGUGAUGGCCUCUUGCGGGAGUUCAAUCCCCAGCUCAGCUAGACGGUUUGAGUACCCAGACAGUUUGAGCACAUGUUCACUGACAGACGAGUUUUCCUCCAUCUUGCAAGCAUAGAAUUUAUCGGAGGUCUCAUACCUCUCGAUCUGGGCGUUCUUCUGAAAGAUAAACUUCAACUCCUGGAACAUCUCAAAUGCUCCAUGACGCUCAAAGCGACGUUGAAGUCCCGGUUCUAAGCCAUACAAGACGGCACAUUGAACUAUUGAGUAGUCCUCCUUACGUGAUAACCAAGCGUUCUUAACAUCCUGAUCNNNNNNNNNNUGCACAUUGAACUACUGAGUAGUCGUCCUUACGUGCUAACCAAGCGUUCUUAACAUCCUGAUCAGCCGUAGCGGGUGGUUCAUCUCCUAGCGCAGCAUUAAGGACAUAAUCCUUCUUCCCAGCUUGUAAGAUUAGCUUAAGAUUACGAGCCCAGUCUACAAAGUUGCUUCCAUCAUCUUUCAACUUAGCUUUCUCUAGGAACGUAUUAAAAUUCAGGAUGACUGUAGCGUGAGCCAUGAUCUACAACACAAAUAUAUUCAAAGUGGACUUAGACUAUGUUCAAGAUAAUUAGAGUUUAACUCAAUCAAAUUAUUUGCUAAACUCCCACUCAAAAAGUACAUCUCUCUAGUCAUUUGAGUGGUUCAUGAUCCACUUACACUAGCUCAAGUCCGAUNNNNNNNNNNUAAUCAAAAUUAUACGCUAAACUCCCACUCAAAAAGUACAUAUCUCUUAGUCAUUUGAGUGGUUCAUGAUCCACUUACACUAGCUCAAGUCCGAUCAUCACGUGAGUUGAGUAUAGUUUCAGUCGUAAGCAUCCCUAUGCUAAUCAUAUCAUCUAUAUGAUUCAGGAUCGACCUUUCGGUCUCAUGUGUUCCGAGGCCAUGUCUGCACAUGCUAGGCUCGUCAAGCUUAACCCGAGUGUUCCGCGUGCGCAACUGUUUUGCACCCGUUGUAUGUNNNNNNNNNNGAGUGGUAAGCAUCCCUAUGCUAAUCAUAUCAUCCAUAUGAUUCAUGAUCGACCUUUUGGUCUCAUGUGUUCCGAGGCCAUGUCUGCACAUGCUAGGUUCGUCAAGUUUAACCCGAGUGUUCCGCGUGCGCAACUGUUUUGCACCCGUUGUAUGUGAACGUUGAGUCUAUCACACCCGAUCAUCACGUGGUGUCUCGAAACGACGAACUAUAGCAACGGUGCACAGUCGGGGAGAACACAAUUUCAUCUUGAAAUUUUAAUGAGAGAUCACCUCAUAAUGCUACCGUCGUUCNNNNNNNNNNNNNNNNNNNNNNNNNNNNNNNNNNNNNNNNNNNNNNNNNNNNNNNNNNNNNNNNNNNNNNNNNNNNNNNNNNNNNNNNNNNNNNNNNNNNNNNNNNNNNNNNNNNNNNNNNNNNNNNNNNNNNNNNNNNNNNNNNNNNNNNNNNNNNNNNNNNNNNNNNNNNNNNNNNNNNNNNNNNNNNNAUCUUCUUGUCACCGACGCCACACCAUAAUCUCCAUCAACGUGUUGCCAUCGGGGUUGUCGUGCUACUCAUGCUAUUACUACUAAAGCUACAUCCUAGCAANNNNNNNNNNGUGACAUGAUAUGGCCAUCAUCACGUGCUUCUUGAUCUCCAUCACCAAAGCACCAACACGAUCUUCUUGUCACCGGCGCCACACCAUGAUCAUCCAUCAACGUGUUGCCAUCGUGGUUGUCGUGCUACUAAUGCUAUCACUACUAAAGCUACAUCCUAGCAAAAUAGUAAACGCAUCUGCAAGCACNNNNNNNNNNGUCUUCUUGUCACCGUCGCCACGCCAUGCUCUCCAUCAACGUGUUGCCAUCGAGGUUGUCGUGCUACUCAUGCUAUUACUACUAAAGCUACAUCCUAGCAAAAUAGUAAACGCAUCUGCAAGCACAAACGUUAGUAUAAAGACAACCCUAUGGCUCCUGCCGGUUGACGUACCAUCCACGUGCAAGUCGAUAUUUUCUAUUACAACAUGAUCAUCUCAUACAUCCAAUAUAUCACAACACAUCAUUGGCCAUAUCACAUCACAAACAUACCCUGCAAAAACAAGUUAGACGUCCUCUAAUUUUGUUGUUGCAUGUUUUACGUGGUGACCAUGGGUAUCUAGUACGAUCGCAUCUUACUUACGCAAACACCACAACGGAGAUAUAUGAGUUGCUAUUUAACCUCAUCCAAGGACCUCCUCGGUCAAAUCCGACUCAACUAAAGUUGGAGAAACCGACACUUGCCAGUCAUCUUUGAGCAACGGAGUUACUCGUAACAAUGAAACCAGUCUCUCGUAAGCGUACGAGUAAUGUCGGUCCAAGCCGCUUCAAUCCNNNNNNNNNNUGACACUUGCCAGUCAUCUUUGAGCAACAGGGUUACUCGUAGCGAUGAAACUAGUCUCUCGUAAGCGUACGAGUAAUGUCGGUCCAAGCCGCUUCAAUCCAAGAAUACCGCGGAAUCAAGAAAAGACUAAGGAGGGCAGCAAAACGCACAUCACCGCCCACAAAACCUUUUGUGUUCUACUCGAGAAGACAUCUACGCAUGAGCCUAGCUCAUGAUGCCACUGUUGGGGAACGCCGCAUGGGAAACAAAAAAUUUCCUACGCGCACGAAGACCUAUCAUGGUGAUAUCCAUCUACGAGAGAGGAUGAGUGAUCUACGUACCCUUGUAGAUCGUACAGCAGAAGCGUUANNNNNNNNNNNNNCCACGAAGACAUAUCAUGGUGAUGUCCAUCUACGAGAGGGGAUGAGUGAUCUACGUACCCUUGUAGAUCGUACAGCAGAAGCGUUAGAGAACGCGGUUGACGUAGUGAAACGUCCUCACGUCCCUCGAUCCGCCCCGCGAACAAUCCCGCGAUCAGNNNNNNNNNNNNNNNNNNNNNNNNNNNNNNNNNNNNNNNNNNNNNNNNNNNNNNNNNNNNNNNNNNNNNNNNNNNNNNNNNNNNNNNNNNNNNNNNNNNNUAUUGGUGUAAAACGCAUGAAGAAACUCCAUGCUGAUGGACUUUUGGAGUCACUUGACUUUGAUUCACUUGACACAUGCGAACCAUGCCUCAUGGGCAAGAUGACUAAGACUCCGUUCUCCGGAACAAUGGAGCGUGCAAGUGACUUGUUGGAAAUCAUACAUACCGAUGUGUGUGGUCCAAUGAGCGUGGAGGCACGCGGCGGAUAUCGUUAUUUUCUCACCUUCACUGACAAUUUAAGUAGAUAUGGUUAUGUCUACUUAAUGACGCACAAGUCUGAAACAUUUGAAAAGUUCAAGCAAUUUCAGAGUGAAGUGGAAAAUCAUCAUAACAAGAAGAUCAAGUUCCUACGGUCUGAUCGUGGGGGUGAAUAUCUGAGUUUCGAGUUUGGUACUCACNNNNNNNNNNGAUUUGAGUAGAUAUGGUUAUGUCUACUUGAUGAAGCACAAGUCUGAAACAUUUGAAAAGUUCAAGCAAAUUCAGAGUGAAGUGGAAAAUCAUCGUAACAAGAUCAAGUUCCUGCGGUCUGAUCGUGGGGGUGAAUAUCUGAGUUUCGAGUUUGGUACUCACUUAAGACAAUGUGGAAUUGUUUCACAGUUAACACCGCCUGGAACACCACAGCGUAAUGGUGUGUCCGAACGUCGUAAUCGUACUCUAUUAGAGAUGGUGCGAUCUAUGAUGUCUCUUACUGAUUUGCCGUUAUCGUUUUGGGGCUAUGCAUUAGAAACAGCUGCAUUCACUUUAAAUAGGGCACCAUCAAAAUCCGUUGAGACGACACCAUACGAAUUAUGGUAUGGCAAAAGGCCAAAGUUGUCGUUUCUUAAAGUUUGGGGAUGUGAUGCUUAUGUCAAAAAGCUUCAGCCUAAAAAGCUGGAACCCAAAGCGGAAAAGUGCGUCUUCAUAGGUUACCCAAAAGAGACNNNNNNNNNNGGAACCCAAAGCAGAAAAGUGCGUCUUCAUAGGUUACCCAAAAGAGACAGUUGGGUACACCUUCUAUCUCAAAUCCGAGGGCAAAGUGUUUGUUGCUAAAAACGGAGCUUUUCUCGAGAAGGAGUUUCUCUCGAGAGAAUUGAGUGGGAGGAAGAUAGAACUUGACGAGGUUGUCGAACCUCUNNNNNNNNNNNNNNNNNNNNNNNNNNNNNNNNNNNNNNNNNNNNNNNNNNNNNNNNNNNNNNNNNNNNNNNNNNNNNNNNNNNNNNNNNNNNNNNNNNNNACCUGAGGGCCGCAAGGCUAUUCAGAACAAAUGGAUCUUUAAGAGGAAGACGGACGCUCACGGCAAUGUGAGCAUUUAUAAAGCUCGACUUGUGGCAAAGGGUUUUUCACAAGUUCAAGGAGUUGACUGCGAUGAGACAUUCUCACCGGUAGCGAUGCUUAAGUCCGUCAGAAUCAUGUUAGCAAUAGCUGCAUUUUUCGAUUAUGAAAUCUGGCAGAUGGAUGUCAAAACGGCAUUCCUUCACGGUUUCCUUAAGGAAGAAUUGUAUAUGAUGCAACCCGAAGGUUUUGUCGAUCCUAANNNNNNNNNNUACGGCGUUCCUUAACGGUUUCCUUAAGGAAGAGUUGUAUAUGAUACAACCCGAAGGUUUUGUCGAUCCUAAGAAUGCUAACAAGGUGUGCAAGCUCCAGCGAUUCAUUUAUGGACUGGUGCAAGCAUCUCGGAGUUGGAACAAACGUUUUGAUGAGGUGAUCAAAGCAUUUGGGUUUAUACAAGUGGUUGGAGAAUCUUGUAUUUACAAGAAAGUGAGUGGGAGCUCUGUGGCGUUUCUAAUAUUAUAUGUGGAUGACAUAUUACUGAUUGGAAACAAUGUAGAGCUUUUGGAGAGCAUAAAAGGUUACUUGAAUAAAAGUUUCUCUAUGAAGGACCUAGGAGAAGCUGCUUACAUACUAGGCAUUAAGAUCUAUAGGGAUAGAUCGAAACGCCUGAUAGGACUUUCACAAAGCACAUACCUUGAUAAAGUUUUGNNNNNNNNNNAUAAAGGAUUACUUGAAUAAAAGUUUCUCUAUGAAGGACCUAGGAGAAGCUGCUUANNNNNNNNNNGUAAAGGAUUACUUGAAUAAGAGUUUCUCUAUGAAGGACCUAGGAGAAGCUGCUUACAUUCUAGGCAUUAAGAUCUAUAGGGAUAGAUCAAAACACCUGAUAGGACUUUCACAAAGCACAUACCUUGAUAAAGUUUUGAAGAGGUUCAAAAUGGAACAGUCCAAGAAAGGGUUCUUGCCAGUGUUACAAGGUACGAGAUUGAGUAAGACUCAGUGCCCAGCAACUGAUGAAGAUAGAGAGCAUAUGCGCUCCGUCCCCUANNNNNNNNNNAUUCUUGCCAGUUUUACAAGGUAAGAGAUUGAGUAAGACUCGGUGCCCAGCAACUGAUGAAGAUAGAGAGCAUAUGCGCUCCGUCCCCUAUGCUUCAGCCAUAGGUUCUAUCAUGUAUGCAAUGCUGUGCGCUAGACCGGAUGUUAGCCUGGUCGUAAGUAUGGCAGGUAGGUUCCAGAGUAAUCCAGGAGUGGAUCACUGGANNNNNNNNNNCUCUAUCAUGUAUGCAAUGCUGUGCGCUAGACCGGAUGUUAGCCUAGCCAUAAGUAUGGCAGGUAGGUUCCAGAGUAAUCCAGGAGUGAAUCACUGGACGGCGGUCAAGAAUAUCCUAAAGUACCUGAAAAGGACUAAGGAGAUGUUUCUCGUGUAUGGAGGUGACGAAGAGCUCGCCGUAAAAGGUUACGUCGAUGCAAGCUUUGACACAGAUCCGGACGACUCCAAGUCGCAAACCGGAUACGUAUUUAUUCUUAAUGGGGGUGCAGUAAGCUGGUGCAGUUCCAAGCAAAGCGUCGUAGCAGAUUCUACAUGUGAAGCAGAGUACAUGGCUGCCUCGGAGGCGGCUAAGGAGGGUGUCUGGAUGAAGCAGUUCAUGACGGAUCUUGGAGUGGUGCCAAGCGCACUGAAUCCAAUAACCUUGUUCUGUGACAACACGGGUGCCAUUGCCUUAGCAAAGGAACCACGGUUUUCCAAGAAGACCAGACACAUCAAACGACGCUUCAACCUCAUCCGCGACUANNNNNNNNNNUGCACUGGAUCCAAUAACCUUGUUCUGUGACAACACUGGUGCCAUUGCCUUAGAAAAGGAACCAAGGUUUCACAAGAAGACCAGACACAUCAAACGACGCUUCAACCUCAUCCGCGACUACGUCGAGGAGGAGGACGUAAAUAUACGCAAAGUGCACACGGAUCUGAAUGUAGGAGACCCGCUGACUAAACCUCUUCCACGGCCAAAGCAUGAUCAACACCAGAACUGUAUGGGUGUUAGAUUUAUUACAAUGUAAUUCGCAUGAUGAUGUGAGGGCUAGAUUAUUGACUCUAGUGCAAGUGGGAGAUUGUUGGAAUUAUGCCCUAGAGGCAAUAAUAAAUAUAGUUAUUAUUAUNNNNNNNNNNACAUGAUCAACACCAGAACUGUAUGGGUGUUAGAUUCAUUACAAUGUAAUUCACAUGGUGAUGUGAGGGCUAGAUUAUUGACUCUAGUGCAAGUGGGAGACUGUUGGAAUUAUGCCCUAGAGGCAAUAAUAAAUGUAAAGUUAUUAUUAUAAUUCUUGUAUCAAGAUAAUAGUUUAUUAUCCAUGCUAUAAUUGUAUUGAAUGAAGACUCAUUUACAUGNNNNNNNNNNNNNNNNNNNNNNNNNNNNNNNNNNNNNNNNNNNNNNNNNNNNNNNNNNNNNNNNNNNNNNNNNNNNNNNNNNNNNNNNNNNNNNNNNNNNCUCUCCGUCACACGGAGUGACAAAUCCCAGUCUCGAUCCAUACUAACUCAACUAACACCUUCGGAGAUACUUGUAGAGCAUCUUUAUAGUCACCCAGUUACGUUGCGACGUUUGAUACACACAAAGCAUUCCUCUGGUGUCAGUGAGUUAUAUGAUCUCAUGGUCAUAGGAACAAAUACUUGACACGCAGAAAACAGUAGCAACAAAAUGACACGAUCAACAUGCUACGUCUAUUAGUUUGGGUCUAGUCCAUCACAUGAUUCUCCUAAUGAUGUGAUCCCGUUAUCAAGUGACAACACUUGCCUAUGGCCAGGAAACCUUGACCAUCUUUGAUCAACGAGCUAGUCAACUAGAGGCUUACUAGGGACAGUGUUUUGUCUAUGUAUCCACACAAGUAUUGUGUUUCCAAUCAAUACAAUUAUAGCAUGGAUAAUAAACGAUUAUCAUGAACUAAGAAAUAUAAUAAUAACUAAUUUAUUAUUGCCUCUAGGGCAUAUUUCCAACAGUCUCCCACUUGCACUAGAGUCAAUAAUCUAGUUCACAUCACCAUGUGAUUCCAACGAAUCCAACACCCAUAUAGUUAUGGGGUCUGAUCACGUCUUGCUCGUGAGAGAGGUUUUAGUCAACGGUUCUGAAACUUUCAGAUCCNUAAUCAGAAGACCCUGACUAUCUUUGAUCAACUGACUAGCCAACUAGAGGCUUGCUAGGGACAGUGUUUUGUCUAUGUAUCCACACAUGUAUAUAAGUCUUCAUUCAAUACAAUUAUAGCAUGGAUAAUAAACGAUUAUCAUGAACUAAGAAAUAUAAUAAUAACUAAUUUAUUAUUGCCUCUAGGGCAUAUUUCCAACAAGUGGCAUAUUGGGGAGCAUUGUGCCUCCACACCGCUUCAAACGGAGAUUAGCAUCCGCAAGGGUGUGAACCUUGGGAUACAUCGUCGUCUCCGCGUGGCAUGGUUAUCUCUCACCCGAGCUCUUUGCUUAUGCACUUUAAUUUGNGAGAUUAGCAUCCGCAAGGGUGUGAACCUCGGGAUACAUCGUCGUCUCCGCGUGGCAUGGUUAUCUCUCACCCGAGCUCUUUGCUUAUGCACUUUAAUUUGUGAUAGCCAUAUUAUUUCUUGUUGUAUUUCUCGCUAUCACUUCGUUGUUUAUCUUCCUNUGAUAGCCAUAUUAUUUCUUGUUGUAUUUCUCGCUAUCACUUCGUUGUUUAUCUUCCUUAGCAAAAGUUGUUGGUGCACAUAGGUGAGCCUGGUUGUUUUAGGUUUUGUGCUUGACAAAUUAAACAUUAGUUUUAUUCCGCAUUUGUUCAAGCCUAAACCAUAGUUAUUUUAAAAGCGCCUAUUCACCCCCUCUAGGCGACAUCCACGUCCUUUCAAUGAUCCAUUUUGUCCGUUUGAGUCGCCCGUACANNNNNNNNNNNNNNNNNNNNNNNNNNNNNNNNNNNNNNNNNNNNNNNNNNNNNNNNNNNNNNNNNNNNNNNNNNNNNNNNNNNNNNNNNNNNNNNNNNNNUCCUCACGUCCCUCGAUCCGCCCCGCGAACAAUCCCGCGAUCAGUCCCACGAUCUAGUACCGAACGGACGGCACCUCCGCGUUCAACACACGUACAGCUCGACGAUGAUCUCGGCCUUCUUUAUCCAGCAAGAGAGACGGAGAGGUAGAAGAGUUCUCCGGCAGCGUGACGGCGCUCCGGAGGUUGGUGAUGACCUUGUCUCAGCAGGGCUCCGCCCGAGCUCUGCAGAAACGCGAUCUAGAGGAAAAACCGUGGAGGUAUGUGGUCGGGCUGCCGUGGAAAAGUCGUCUCAAAUCAGCCCUAAAACCUCCGUAUAUAUAGGUGGGAGGGAGGGGAGGAGGCAGCCCCAAAACCUAAAGGUUUGGCCGAAAUUGGAGGUGGAGGAGUCCUACUCCAAUCCUACUUGGAGUAGGAUUCCACCUUCCCACUUGGAAACUCUUUCCACCUUGUGUUUUUUCCUUCUCAAACCUUAUGGGCCUUAGUGUGAACUUAUUCCAGCCCACUAGGGCCUGGUUUAUCUCUUCCCAUAGCCCAUGAGACCCCUUGGGGCGUGACACCCCUCCCGAUGGUCCCCGGCACCCCUCCCGGCACUCCCGGUACACUACCGAUGAGCCCGAAACUUUUCCGGUAAUGCACGAAAACCUUCCGGUAACCAAAUGAGGUCAUCCUAUAUAUCAAUCUUCGUUUUCGGACCAUUCCGGAAACCCUCGUGACGUCCGUGAUCUCAUCCGGGACUCCGAAAAACAUUCGUUAACCAACCAUAUAACUCAAAUACGCAUAAAACAACGUCGAACCUUAAGUGUGCAGACCCUGCGGGUUCGAGAACUAUGUAGACAUGACCCGAGAGACUCCUCGGUCAAUAUCCAAUAGCGGGACCUGGAUGCCCAUAUUGGAUCCUACAUAUUCUACGAAGAUCNNNNNNNNNNNNNNNNNNNNNNNNNNNNNNNNNNNNNNNNNNNNNNNNNNNNNNNNNNNNNNNNNNNNNNNNNNNNNNNNNNNNNNNNNNNNNNNNNNNNACUAUAAAGAUGCUCUACAGGUAUCUCCGAAGGUGUUAGUUGAGUUAGUAUGGAUCGAGACUGGGAUUUGUCACUCCGUGUGACGGAGAGGUAUCUCGGGGCCCACUCGGUAAUACAACAUCACACACAAGCCUUGCAAGCAAUGUAACUUAGUGUAAGUUGCGGGAUCUUGUAUUACGGAACGAGUAAAGAGACUUGCCGGUAAACGAGAUUGAAAUAGGUAUGCGGAUACUGACGAUCGAAUCUCGGGCAAGUAACAUACCGAAGGACAAAGGGAAUGACAUACGGGAUUAUAUGAAUCCUUGGCACUGAGGUUCAAACGAUAAGAUCUUCGUAGAAUAUGUAGGAUCCAAUAUGGGCAUCCAGGUCCCGCUAUUGGAUAUUGACCGAGGAGUCUCUCGGGUCAUGUCUACAUAGUUCUCGAACCCGCAGGGUCUGCACACUUAAGGUUCGACGUUGUUUUAUGCGUAUUUGAGUUAUAUGGUUGGUUACCGAAUGUUGUUCGGAGUCCCGGAUGAGAUCACGGACGACAGGAGGGUUUCCGGAAUAGUCCGGAAACGAAAAUUGAUAUAUAGGAUGACCUCAUUUGAUUACCGGAAGGUUUUCGGAGUUACCGGGAAUGUACCGGGAAUGACGAAUGGGUUCCGGAAGUUCACCGGGGGGGCAACCCACCUCGGGGAAGCCCAUAGGCUUUGAGGGUGGCACACCAGCCCUUAGUGGGCUGGUGGGACAGCCCAAAAGGGCUCUAUGCGCCAAGAAGAAGAAAAUCAAGAGAAAAGAAAAAAAAGGAGGAGGUGGGAAGGAAGGGGGACUCCCUCCCACCAAACCAAGUCCAACUCGGUUUGGGGGGGAGUCCUCCCCCCUUGGACUCGGCCGACCCCCUUGGGGCUCCUUGAGCCCCAAGGCAAGGUCCCCUCCCUCCCACCUAUAUAUACGGAGGUUUUAGGGCUGAUUUGAGAUGACUUUUCCACGGCAGCCCGACCACAUACCUCCACGGUUUUUCCUUUAGGUCGCGUUUCUGCGGAGCUCAGGCGGAGCCCUGCUGAGAAAAGGUCAUCACCAACCUCCGGAGCGCCGUCACACUGCCGGAGAACUCUUCUACCUCUCCGUCUCUCUUGCUGGAUCAAGAAGGCCGAGAUCAUCGUCGAGCUGUACGUGUGCUGAACGCGGAGGUGCCGUCCGUUCGGUACUAGAUCGUGGGACUGAUCACGGGAUUGUUCGCGGGGCGGAUCGAGGGACGUGAGGACGUUCCACUACAUCAACCGCGUUCACUAACGCUUCUGCUGUGCGAUCUACAAGGGUACGUAGAUCACUCAUCCCCUCUCGUAGAUGGACAUCACCAUGAUAGGUCUUCGUGCGCGUAGGAAAUUUUUUGUUUCCCAUGCGACGUUCCCCAACAACGUGAGGACGUUCCACUACAUUAACCGCGUUCUCUAACGCUUCUGCUGUACGAUCUACAAGGGUACGUAGAUCACUCAUCCCCUCUCGUAGAUGGACAUCACCAUGAUAGGUCUUCGUGCGCGUAGGAAAUUUUUUGUUUCCCAUGCGACGUUCCCCAACAAUUAUCAUCACCACCCACACAGAACACCUCACUCUUCUCAAAAUUGAUCUUUAACCCUGACAUCAACUCAAAUAUAUACAAUAAGAGUUUCAUAUUAACAGAUGCAGCUACAUCGUGUUCAAAACAGAUUACUGUAUCAUCUACAUACUGCAGAAUAGCAACACCAUCCUCAAUGAGAUCAGGAGCCAAACGUGUAAACAAUUUCUCCUUUUGGGCAUUUCUCACCAUCUUAGACAGGGCCUCCGCAGCAAUAUUGAAUAAGAAGGGAGAGAAAGGAUCACCCUGUCUAACUCCCUUAUGACUUUGGAAAUACGGGCCUUUUUCAUUAUUCAACUUAAUACACACCGUGCCAUCAUAUAAUAUCUUUUUUAUCCAUCCACACCAAGUUUCUCCAAAGCCCCUGUUCCUAUGGCACUCCAGAAGGAACUCCCAAUUGAUCUUAUCGUAGGCUUUUUCAAAAUCCAAUUUUAGCACUACUCCACAUCUUUUCUGACGCUGAGUAUGAUGUAAAACCUCAUGUAAAGUUAGGAUACCAUCCAUUAUAUUUCUAUGUUUGAUGAAAGCAUUUUGAUGUCUACUAAUGAGCACAUCAGAGUACAGAGCCACCCUGUCAUUUAAGACUUUAGUGAUCAACUUAUAAGGGCAACGAGGCAAACAGAUAGGUCUGUAUUGUUGAAUCUUCUUAGCUCCAUCUAGCUUAGGAAGCAAAGUGAUCACCCCAUAAUUCAAACGGGCCACAUCCAAAGAAUUAUUAUGGAAAGCAUCAAACAAUCUCAUCAGAUCCUUUUUAACAAACUCCCAACAUUGUUUAUAAAAUUCAACAGGGAUAUUAUCUGGGCCUCGGGCCUUAUUGCUUUCCAUAGAAAAUAAGGCCUUCUUCACCUCCUCCUCCGUAAAACUAUUCGCAAUAAAAUCAUUAUCCUCCAUACUGAUUUUUUCCCUUAUGGACCAAGUAUUAGGAUCCAGGUGGAACAUGUUCCCAUUAGCAGGACCAAACAACUCCUUAUAAAAGUCAGUUGCAUGUCUCAAUAGAUUUUCAGUCCCCACAAUUACCACAUCUCCAUUAACAAGAGAAUGGAUUGUAUUUUUCCUCUUUCUACCAUUAGCCACUCUAUGAAAAAAGGUUGUGUUUCGAUCUCCUUUUAAUAGCCAUCUCUCAUUAGAUUGCUGGAGCCAAUAUAAUUCAUCAUUAUUAAGGAUCUCAUUAUAUUCAGCACACAACAAAGUUCUUUUUUCAUAAAUUCCAGGAUCCAAAGGUCCCAUCUCCUCCAACUUCUCAAUCUCUUCUAAUUCUUUCUUAAUCUCAUCCUUCCUCUUCCUACUAUGACCAAAUUUGUUUGAUCCCCACCCUUUAAAAUACUUCUUAAUACGCUUCAAUUUUAUAUUAAGAAUAUCAAUAGGAUCAUCUCACCUGACAUCUUCCUCCCAGAUGCUCUUGGCCUUAGGAAAAAAUUCUUCAUUCUUAAGCCAGGAAAGUUCAAAUCUAAAUUCCCUAUUUACAGGAGCACUCCUCUCAUCCAUCCCCGUUGACAACAACAAGGGGUUAUGAUCAGAUACCUCCCUAACCAGCUUGCGAACAGAAACUAAGGGAUAUAGAUCUUCCCAACUAAAGCUCAUUAAAACCGUGUCCAAUUUCUCCAAAGUAGGAUGACGUUGUUUAUUAGUCCACGUAUACUUCCCCCCUCCCAUAUCAACCUCUCUCAGGCCUAGGGAAUGAAUAACAUCAUUAAACUUCGCAGCAAACUUGAGAUUACCAUGUCUCUUAUUUUUCUCCUGCAUCCCUCUAAUGAUACUAAAGUCCCCCCCCCCCAAUAAUGUAAGGGACAUCAACACUACAACAUGUGACAAGCAUUUCCUCCAGGACAUCCUCUUUGCGGUCAUCAUGCGCCGCACCAUAAACCACGAUUAACACCCAUACACAUUUGUUCUUCACAUCAAACACACGAGCCUCCACCAUAAAGUUCCCCAUCUUCCAAGAAAUCAACUCCAGGCUCUCUUUCUUAAUCCCACAAAGGAUACCCCCGAUCUCCCCACCGAAGGUAGAAAAUUCCACACAAAGAAACCACNCCCCCCCCCCCAAUAAUGUAAGGGACAUCAACACUACAACAUGUGACAAGCAUUUCCUCCAGGACAUCCUCUUUGCGGUCAUCAUGCGCCGCACCAUAAACCACGAUUAACACCCAUACACAUUUGUUCUUCACAUCAAACACACGAGCCUCCACCAUAAAGUUCCCCAUCUUCCAAGAAAUCAACUCCAGGCUCUCUUUCUUAAUCCCACAAAGGAUACCCCCGAUCUCCCCACCGAAGGUAGAAAAUUCCACACAAAGAAACCACCAGGAUCCAUUCUACUUAAGUAUUUUGCAGGAAAUUCCUUUUUCUUGGUCUCUUGAAUACCAACAAAAUCAAGAGAAUGAUCUUUAAUAAUGUCUGCAAAACAGGAGGCCAUCCCUUUCCUACCUGCCCCCCUACAAUUCCAAAAGACCCCUUUCAUAUAGUUCCUUUUGAAUUUUUCCUCUCUUUGGAGCCCCUAUUAGGAAUCACAAUAGGGGCACCCACUUUCUUAUCCGAGGAUGAUUCAUUUUUCUGACUUCUAGUAACAGGUCUAGCUAUCACAACAGGUUUUUUAUUUUUGUUCUUUUUCCUAGACCUCACAAGUGUAAAAUCAUCCUCUUCAAUAUUACCUUCUUCCAUCAAACACAAAUCUAAUGGAAUAGCUACACCAUUAGCAUUAAUGAGAGACAUAUUACUUAUAUUCUCCUCAACCUCCACUAUAUCCUCUCUCUCCACCCUAUAAUUAUUAUUCCUAAAUUUCUCCAACUCCCUAAUAAUAUCAAUAUUAACAAAAUCAUUAUCAGGAAUAAUAACCCUCAUCUUAGAAGCAGCUAACAUCAUGUUUUGAUUAGACAAAGCAUCAAAAGAGUUAUGAGAAUGUAAUGUACCUUCCGUAUUCCUUUUCUUGACAGCAGCAGCAGCCUUCAACUGCACAUCAUCCAUCUUGCUCUGCAUAAGGUUACAUCAUGGAUAGCAUGAGACACUAAAAAUUCUAUUUUUAUGAUUUCUCUAUUCGAGAACAAGCAGGAAUUAAACUUGAAGAUGCUUGAUACGUCUCCGUUAAAAUCCGUCGGGUUUAUAUGAAAUAUGUCGUGUUUGCCGGAAAUCCAAUCGUAUUUGUACGAAUUUCAUUCUAUUAAUUUAAGUUGUUGUUAAAAUAUAUGCAGAUGGGUUAGCAUCGAAGAUGUUCUAACUGCCUGGUUUUUUUCUACGUAUACGUGGACAUUAUGCAAACUCCUCUCCGUUCGUAUAAAGAAGAACUCUGGGCCAACCCCGUCGACGUCUCCGCCUUUGUCGUUCUCGUCGCCAUGGCCCACGUUAGCCAUCGAGCCAACCACCGCAUUACACCCAGGCAUGUUGGAAUAAACAAGUCGAACCACUCCCUCGUCCAUGGUUAGCCCCAUCCCGCGCGCCGGGCCGUGGUUUCAUGGCCGCCAGUACACCAACAAUAGGGUUGUCGAGCUCCGUUCGCCCAUAUAUACCCACCCUCCCCGCUUGGCAGCUCCACUGAACUCACCCACCUCUCCCACCGCCAAGAGCAGCAGCGAACUGCGAAUUCUAGCUCUGAAGCAGCUCAAGAUCGGGCUUGCCAGAAGAAGCCUUUCUGAGUACCAUGGCGGCAUCAGUAGCCUGCGCCUUCUUCUUCGACGCCGAGCCGGUCGGCGAGCCCGGCAACCACGCGCUGGACGCGUGCGCGCUCUGCACCAAGCGGCUGGCGCGCGACAGCGACGUCUUCAUGUACAGAGGGGACACGCCCUACUGCAGCGAGGAGUGCCGCCACGAGCAGAUGCACCUCGACGCCGUCUGCGCCAAGCAGGACGCACGGAGGCAGCAGCGGUUCUCGGCGGAGACGGAAUGCCACCGUGGGCAGCGGCGGUCCAGGAAGGUGCCAGUCGCGAGCUAACCGGACGGCCUGGCCGGAGCGCGCGGGCGACGAAAGUUUUGUUCGAACGGACAAGAUCCGAAUUCUGAAGAACUGUCCAUACUGUUUUAGGGGGGCGCAUCCGUCUCUCCGGCCGGUGCUCUCUUGCCUGAACCGGAGGAGGUAUCAGGGCACGAUCAGGUGGCAUGAAGCAUAGGCGCGAGUUGCUUCCAAUAUGUGUCCAUGGCAAGCUGAUUAAGCUUCCCGGAUGGGUGGAAAUUGUACUUGUUCUCGAUCGGCCUCUGCAGUCCGGAUGAUUUGUUUAUUAGAAAUGAAUACAGGAAAAAUAAAGGAUCUGAAGAAAGCAAUCAAAAAUCAUUCAAACUUGGUUAGCUUCAGUUUGGAUAGCUCGUCUGCUCCAUUUUUUUUUGUUCCACUUGAUGACUGACACAGUGCUAAAGUACUGUCGCUGUAAAUAAUUCAAACCAAUCGUUAUAAAUUAUUGUUGCCCUAAAUUUUGUGAUGUUCACAGCAAUCUGUACAAGUAAUGCAAGUUAGAGCAUCUCUAGCAUAUCCCAUAUAANGCUGCCGCGGCCGACCUCAACCACCACUGUUGUCGAUCUCAACCCACCCGCCUCAGCGGCCGUACCUCUGCCCGCUUGCUGCCCCCGUUUCGGCGCUCGAACACAGCUUCUGGGUCAAAUAAACGCGACAGCUAUAGUGACUGGGGAUGAUGCGUCUGUUCGAUGCAGAACGGCGGCGAUGCGCAGAUAAGGCACGGCGGAGCGAAGUACUUGCAGGUGGAGGCGGGCCUCCAUGGCUCACACGGGAAACUCCGAGGUUAUGGCGCGGCAACGACGACUCCUUAUGGCGAGAUAGAGGUUCCUAACCCUUGCUCCCCUCGUCGUAUCCCCUCCUCCGGCAGGAACUCAUCAUCUGGUGAGAUCCCCUCCCCAUGCCUCCAACCGUGUGCCAAGGAUCGGUCAGAAAUUUUGUUUUGUGGGAAUUUGUUUGCUGAUGAAUGAAUGUAUUGAAUAUAAGAUUACACUGUUGUAGAGACAGAGAAUGGAACACCACCUUCAGUUUAUCAUCUGAUCCCACAUUCUCUACCCCAUGAGUGAAAUAAGAUAACAGUCCAUUGAUCAAUUCAGGUAGCCUAUUUGUUUUGCUUUGCUUGUUCCGUUUAAUUUUUCAUUAUGGUCGAAUUAACAAUGGACGGGUUAAUUUUUCAACAAAAUAGGAUAGAACUGACUACAUUAGUUAGUUAGCUUANUUGCAUCGCACGUGCCCUUUUGCUAGUUAUAGUUGAACAAAGUAGAUCUUUUCAACUACAAUUAAUUAGGUAUAAAAAAUAUAUUAUACAUUUAAAUCCUUGUAUAUUCUUGCAUUUGAAGACUGUUUCUUUCUUUUCCGUUAAUAAAUAUGGCUGCAUGCAGGCCGGGUUAACCUCCUUCUUUUUCAUAAAGUCCUUGUAUAUUAUUGAUUUUAUAUGGAGUUUUUCAUUUUUGCUUAAUUAGAACACUUAAAUGUACAAUAGUUAAGGUAUAUAUCUACAUGUGCCUCAUACGAACUCAAAUGAAAAGCAUUGCAUCUCAUAUCGCACGAUACUAACAAAAAUAAGGAAGCCUACAUCAAGAGUAUCUAGACACUCUUGGAUUGGAUGCCGCUUUUACGUCUAGACACCAGUCCAAAUGUCUAAAAAUGACCAGCAUUCCGGUAUCGCCAAAAUCUCGAAAGGAUAUAGGACGCUCGGACACGCCCAUGACAUUGCACUAACCUGGAGGGCCCGCACCAAUUCACGUGUAUUCGCCCCCCUCCCCUCCUUGCCAUCGAAGGUCAGCGCCACCGGACGAUGCCACCGGACUUUGAAAACAGUAUGUCAAACUAUGUACCCUCUCGGAUUCAGACGAUAGAUGUCAAAAUGAUUGAACUUUUAAAAACAAGCAUGUCCAUCACUGUUUGCGUUAUGAGGGAUACACACAGCCAUGACGAGUCUUUGUAUCUAUGAAUGAAGAAAAUUUAUAAUGACGGUCCAUAACCUUGAACAGAAAUGAUAUAUUGAAGACCGAAGCUUACCUUUUUUAAGGACGCGGUUAUUUAAGCCGGGCACAUGGCUGCUCACGCAGCUAGCCAGCUAGGCGUGACUAAACCCCCAACUAAGCGGGCCCAACACCGGAAAUUUUAAGUACAAAAAUAAUAAUUGGUGUUUACACAACCUACAAGCCCAACAUGGACAAAAUGAUCGACCUGCAUGUCCGUGCAUGUACUUGGUGUUUUGGUCACAAAACCCUAUUCCCAAAAGUUUUAGGAAUAGGGUUUUGUGAUCGUAAAUGACAAAAAUUGAGGACCCACUGUCACUGUUUGCGGGGGCGUCUCGAAGCCUAUGGACGUAUAUGGACCUGGAUUAGGCAAUUUCUGCUGUAGGUACUCUUAGAGCAACUCUAGCCCAUACUAUAAAAGUCUCUAAACUGUAAAUUUUCAGGAAGUAUAUGUGUUUGGACCGUUUUUGUGGCCACAUUAAACCCCGUAUACUCGGCCCGGCCCGUAAAUGUUUUAUGCUGGCCCGCCAACGCCCCCCGCCGCUCAUGAUAUUUUUGCAAGUCCUCAAGGUCGAUACGGGUACGGACCCUAUCCAUCCGCUAGAGUGAAAUCCCCAUUUCUCACCACAUUUCUCGUCGCCGGUGUGUCAAAUCCACCGCCCACUCACCGAUCCACGAGAUGUGGAACUCUGGUCGGCGCGGCGGCGAUGACCUCGUGCACAGGCGUUGCGUCAGAGCGAAUGUGUCACGGAGGAGCUCCACCCUGCGGUACACUCAUCACGGGCUAACGCAGUCGCCGUUGCUCCUCCGCCACGAGACGGAGGAGUACGACCGCCCGCGUGCGCGGCUCUUCUCCUACGGAUGCAUCUCCUCCGGGGCGUCCAGCUUGCACUUCUCUUUCACCCCGAUUAAGUGGGAGCUGGAGGAGCUCCCCCUAGUCCGUGCGCUGAAAAGGAAGCCGGAGCCGAGGCGGGGCGAAAGCGACGGGACGGUGGCAUUGUCUAGCCGGAGGACUUGCUCCUACCGACGAAGGCGGGGGCGAUUUUGGCCGCGAUGCUCGCGUGUAGUGCACGGGAGGAGGAACAGGAGCGGCAGGCCGCCGGUGGGAGGAGGAGAUCGGCGCCGUGCUUUACGAGCAGGGCCUCGCAUUGGCCCUCGUGUUCGACGAGAAGGAGGAGGAGUGGCGCCAUGAGUCCGCUGAGCAGGAUAGCAUCUUCGUCGAUCUCACCUUCAACUCCGACUCCGGUUGAGCGCCGCUCGGCUUCGGUGAGCUCGAAGGUCAGCUACCGCACCAUACGAGGUCCGAUGAGCUUGAUUUUGGCCAGUUCUUGGGUAGGGUAGCUCCGACGAGCUUUUUAUGUAAUAUAUCUAUGCUAUGUAUGAACGAUAUGCACCUAUGUAUGAAGAAUAUGUCCAUUUUGCGUUAUAAUUUGUUGCAUGAAACUUAUUUUUAAAUUUUUUUGUUCAGGUUACAAUUUCUUUUGUGACGUGGCGAUUUUGCAUCCGUUAGACCCCAUUCUCAGUGUCAAAACUGGCGGAUCUCGGGUAGGGGGUCCCGAGCCUGGAUCUUGGAUCAACGGGGAACAGAAAAACACAGAGACAAUAGUUACCUAGGUUCGGGCCGUCUCGAAGAGGUAAAACCGUACGUCCUGCUUGAUUAUAUUGAUGAGUGUAUGACCAUUACAGAGUCGAUCUACCACGAGAUCAGAUGUACUAAACAUUAGAUGAUGGUUUUGUCGUCUUCGAACUAAAACCCUCUAGUUUAUAUUGACCCUAGGGGUACCUACGAUUACAUAUGGUCGAUUAUCAGCAGGGAAUAAACAUGUCGAUUCUGCAUCUUGACUUGGAGCACACACCAAGGCUUCAGAGGUUUCCUUCCUGGUGCCAUCUUAUAGUUCGGCCCUUCAGUAGUAGUCACAAAGCGGCCCACCUGUCCGGCCCAUAGAGAUAGAUUGGCGGCCCGAGGACCCCUUAGUCCCGAGCUCCACGAGAGUAUGGACUCGGACCGGAUGAGAGCAGAGAUGAGGCUUGAAAUUGAGAGGGAGAAUAUCGAGUUGGGAAAGUAAGCGACGACGACCAAAUGGGAACUCAAGAAGGCCAAGUAAUUUGAGAGAUUAAGCUCAAGAAGGAGAGGUUGCAACUCGCAUGAGACACGGAGAAUGUGAAGAUCUUGUUGACGGACGAAUCCGUCUUGGAUAAGCAUACCAGAAAUGGCUUAAGGAGAAGAAGAAGGAGAUCAACGUCCAUAGAGAUAAGGAGGCAGCGAGGGUGUCUGCAGCAGAGGAUCAAGCGGCCAGGAUGUAGGUGGAGGAGGCAGUCAGGAUGCAGGUGGAGGAGUCAGCCACGAUGCACGGGGAGAUGGUUGCCCGCAUGGACGCACAGAUGGUUGCGUGGACGGAGCAGGACGCAUGAACGAACUCGUCCGGCCAGUGAUCGGACAAGCACACCCUUGCCACUCGGACAUUGAUUUCAUUUUGACAUGUCCGAUUUGUUGAAGUAUGAUUUCAUUUGCUUUUGUUUUGAAUUGUUGAAUUUGAACAAUUUGUAUCGCAUGAUCGACGUCCGUGAAUUACAUCGAUUUGUGGAUUGUAUUUAAGAUAUGUGAAUGUACGACGCAACAUAUAAGGGUUCGAUGGAUGGCGUGCGCGGACGCGUCCGGACACGCCCGCGAACAUAUAAGGGCUGGAUUGAUCGUCAAGUCCGACUAUAGAUGCUCUAACUUUAGUACAACUAAACAACUGUAUGAUUGAAACCAACAAAUAAAACAACCGGGAUAGAAUAAAAAAUUCAGAAGAUUGCAAUUCUCCAAAAAUUUCAUGAAAAUCCUUUUUCAUGAGACCGUAAGAGCAACUCCAACGGGGCGACCCAAAUGGAUACGUAUUUUGUCCGUUUUUCAUCCGUUUGGGUCACCUUCCGCUUAACGGACAUGGGGCGGACACGCACGGAUGGUUUGUGCUUCUAAUGCGCACACACAAAAACGAAGUCGGUCCUCGUCGCGCCGAUCCUCCUCUCGUCAUCGCGCCGCCUCAUUGGUGGCCUCUUCGCCUUGCCGAUGGCCUCUCUUCUCAAGCCCUCCGACCCCCUUCGCCUCGCCCCUUCGUCCCUCGCGCCAUCGCCGGAUCUAGCCGGUGCCGAAGUCGGGGGCUCGCUCUGCCACGGGCUCCAACUCCCCAUGACCUCCAGCGCGAGCGUUAGUUGCUCUAGCGAGGGAUGUGGCGGUAUGUGCUGGUGGACUCUCUCCUCGCGCCCUCCGACCCCCUUCGCGCCGCCCCUCUGCCCCCUCGCACCAUCGUCGGAUCUUGUCAGGGGCUCGCUCCGUUGCGGGCUCCACCUCCCCAUGAGCUCCAGCGCGAGCGCCUAUUGCUGAGAUGUGGGACCAAGGCGAACACGAGCGGACGACAUGGUCAAUGGAAGCGCCCGAUUCUGUCCACUUCGUACCCAUCUGAUCCCAUAUUUGGGCUAAGUUUGGGUCAGGGAGGAAAAUAGACGGACAACAUGCGGACAUGCACGUCCGUUUGGAUCGUCCCAUUGGGCCAAGUAUUGUGUACGGGCGACUCAAACGGACAAAAUGGAUCAUUGAAAGGACGUGGAUGUCGCCUAGAGGGGGUGAAUAGGCGCUUUUAAAAUAACUAUGGUUUAGGCUUGAACAAAUGCGGAAUAAAACUAAUGUUUAAUUUGUCAAGCACAAAACCUAAAACAACCAGGCUCACCUAUGUGCACCAACAACUUUUGCUAAGGAAGAUAAACAACGAAGUGAUAGCGAGAAAUACAACAAGAAAUAAUAUGGCUAUCACAAAUUAAAGUGCAUAAGCAAAGAGCUCGGGUGAGAGAUAACCAUGCCACGCGGAGACGACGAUGUAUCCCGAGGUUCACACCCUUGCGGAUGCUAAUCUCAGUUUGAAGCGGUGUGGAGGCACAAUGCUCCCCAAUAUGCCACUUGUUGGAAAUAUGCCCUAGAGGCAAUAAUAAAUUAGUUAUUAUUAUAUUUCUUAGUUCAUGAUAAUCGUUUAUUAUCCAUGCUAUAAUUGUAUUGAAUGAAGACUUAUAUACAUGUGUGGAUACAUAGACAAAACACUGUCCCUAGCAAGCCUCUAGUUGGCUAGUCAGUUGAUCAAAGAUAGUCAGGGUCUUCUGAUUAUGAACAAGGUGUUGUUGCUUGAUAACUGGAUCACGUCAUUAGGAGAAUCACGUGAUGGACUAGACCCAAACUAAUAGACGUAGCAUGUUGAUCGUGUCAUUUUGUUGCUACUGUUUUCUGCGUGUCAAGUAUUUGUUCCUAUGACCAUGAGAUCAUAUAACUCACUGACACCAGAGGAAUGCUUUGUGUGUAUCAAACGUCGCAACGUAACUGGGUGACUAUAAAGAUGCUCUACAGGUAUCUCCGAAGGUGUUAGUUGAGUUAGUAUGGAUCGAGACUGGGAUUUGUCACUCCGUGUGACGGAGAGGUAUCUCGGGGCCCACUCGGUAAUACAACAUCACACACAAGCCUUGCAAGCAAUGUAACUUAGUGUAAGUUGCGGGAUCUUGUAUUACGGAACGAGUAAAGAGACUUGCCGGUAAACGAGAUUGAAAUAGGUAUGCGGAUACUGACGAUCGAAUCUCGGGCAAGUAACAUACCGAAGGACAAAGGGAAUGACAUACGGGAUUAUAUGAAUCCUUGGCACUGAGGUUCAAACGAUAAGAUCUUCGUAGAAUAUGUAGGAUCCAAUAUGGGCAUCCAGGUCCCGCUAUUGGAUAUUGACCGAGGAGUCUCUCGGGUCAUGUCUACAUAGUUCUCGAACCCGCAGGGUCUGCACACUUAAGGUUCGACGUUGUUUUAUGCGUAUUUGAGUUAUAUGGUUGGUUACCGAAUGUUGUUCGGAGUCCCGGAUGAGAUCACGGACGUCACGAGGGUUUCCGGAAUGGUCCGGAAACGAAGAUUGAUAUAUAGGAUGACCUCAUUUGAUUACCGGAAGGUUUUCGGAGUUACCGGGAAUGUACCGGGAAUGACGAAUGGGUUCCGGGAGUUCACCGGGGGGGGCAACCCACCCCGGGGAAGCCCAUAGGCUUUGGGGAGACACACCAGCCCUUAGUGGGCUGGUGGGACAGCCCAAAAGGGCUCUAUGCGCCAAGAAGAAGAAAAUCAAGAGAAAAGAAAAAAAAGGAGGAGGUGGGAAGGAAGGGGGACUCCCUCCCACCAAACCAAGUCCAACUCGGUUUGGGGGGGAGUCCUCCCCCCUUGGACUCGGCCGACCCCCUUGGGGCUCCUUGAGCCCCAAGGCAAGGUCCCCUCCCUCCCACCUAUAUAUACGGAGGUUUUAGGGCUGAUUUGAGACGACUUUUCCACGGCAGCCCGACCACAUACCUCCACGGUUUUUCCUCUAGAUCGCGUUUCUGCGGAGCUCGGGCGGAGCCCUGCUGAGACAAGGUCAUCACCAACCUCCGGAGCGCCGUCACGCUGCCGGAGAACUCUUCUACCUCUCCGUCUCUCUUGCUGGAUCAAGAAGGCCGAGAUCAUCGUCGAGCUGUACGUGUGCUGAACGCGGAGGUGCCGUCCGUUCGGUACUAGAUCGUGGGACUGAUCGCGGGAUUGUUCGCGGGGCGGAUCGAGGGACGUGAGGACGUUCCACUACAUCAACCGCGUUCACUAACGCUUCUGCUGUACGAUCUACAAGGGUACGUAGAUCACUCAUCCCCUCUCGUAGAUGGACAUCACCAUGAUAGGUCUUCGUGCGCGUAGGAAAUUUUUUGUUUCCCAUGCGACGUUCCCCAACAGUGGCAUCAUGAGCUAGGUUCAUGCGUAGAUGUCUUCUUGAGUAGAACACAAAUGUUUUUGUGGGCGGUGAUGUGCGUUUUGCUGCCCUCCUUAGUCUUUUCUUGAUUCCGCGGUAUUCUUGGAUUGAAGCGGCUUGGACCGACAUUACUCGUACGCUUACGAGAGACUAGUUUCAUCGCUACGAGUAACCCUGUUGCUCAAAGAUGACUGGCAAGUGUCAGUUUCUCCAACUUUAGUUGAAUCGGAUUUGACCGAGGAGGUCCUUGGAUGAGGUUAAAUAGCAACUCAUAUAUCUUCGUUGUGGUGUUUGCGUAAGUAAGAUGCGAUCCUACUAGAUACCCAUGGUCACCACGUAAAACAUGCAACAACAAAAUUAGAGGACGUCUAACUUGUUUUUGCAGGGUAUGCUUGUGAUGUGAUAUGGCCAACGAUGUGAUGUGAUAUAUUGGAUGUAUGAGAUGAUCAUGUUGUAAUAGUUAAUAUCGACUUGCACGUCGAUGGUACGGCAACCGGCAGGAGCCAUAGGGUUGUCUUUAAACUAACGUUUGUGCUUGCAGAUGCGUUUACUAUAUUGCUAGGACGUAGCUUUAGUAGUAAUAGCAUGAGUAGCACGACAACCCCGAUGGCGACACGUUGAUGGAGAUCAUGAUGAUGGAGAUCAUGGUGUGACGCCGGUGACAAGAAGAUCGUGCCGGUGCUUUGGUGAUGGAGAUCAAGAAGCACGUGAUGAUGGCCAUAUCAUGUCACUUAUGAAUUGCAUGUGAUAUUAAUCCUUUAUGCACCUUAUCUUGCUUAGAACGGCGGUAGCAUUAUGAGGUGAUCUCUCACUAAAAUUUCAAGACGAAAUUGUGUUCUCCCCGACUGUGCACCGUUGCGACAGUUCUUCGUUUCGAGACACCACGUGAUGAUCGGGUGUGAUAGACUCAACGUUCACAUACAACGGGUGCAAAACAGUUGCACACGCGGAACACUCGGGUUAAGCUUGACGAGCCUAGCAUGUGCAGACAUGGCCUCGGAACACAUGAGACCGAAAGGUCGAGCAUGAAUGGUAUAGUUGAUAUGAUUGGCAUAGAGAUGCUUACCACUGAAACUAUUCUUGACUCACGUGAUGAUCAGACUUGAGAUAGUGGAUUUGGAUCAUGUACCACUCAAAUGACUAGAGAGAUGUACUUUUUGAGUGGGAGUUCUUAAGUGAUAUGAUUAAUUGAACUAAUUGUCAUGAACAUAGUCUAAUGGUCUUUACGAAUUACGAUGUAGCUUGCCCUACAGCUCUACUGUUUUUAUGUGUUCCUACAGAAAAUUUAGUUGAAAGUUGAUAGUAGCAAACUUUGAAGAGGAUUGUCCUCGUUGCUGCGCAGAAGGCUUACGUCCUUAAUGCACCACUCAGUGUGCUGCACCUCGAGCGUCGUCUGUGGAUGCUGUGAACAUCCGACAUACACGUUUCUGAUGACUACACGAUAGUUCAGUGCAAAAUACUUAAAUGGCUUAGAAGCAAGGCGCCGAAGACGUUUUGGAACGUCACGGAACAUAAGUGAUGUUCUAAAGAGAUGAAAUUGUGAUUUCAUGCUUGUGCCCUUGUUAAGAGGUACGAGACCUCCGACAAGAUUCUUUGUCCACAAAAUAAAGGAGAAAAGCUCAAUCGUUGAGCAUGUGCUCAGAUUGUCUGAGUACGACAAUCGCUUGAAUCAAGUGGGGGUUAAUCUUCCAGAUGAGAUAGUGAUAGUUCUCCAAAGUCACUGCCACCAAGCCGUGAGAGCUUCGUGAUGAACUAUAACAUAUCAAGGAUAGAUACAAUGAUCUUUGAGUGAUUCACGAUGUUUGACACUGCGAAAGUAGAAAUCAACAAGGAGCGUCAAUAGUUGAUGGUUAGUAAAACCACGAAGUUUCGAGAAAGGCAAGGGCUAGAAGGGAUACUUCGUGAAAACGGCAAAACAGUUGCUGCACUAAUGAAGAGACCCAAGAUUAAACCCAAACCUGAGACUAAGUGCUUCUGUAAUGAGGGGAACAGUCACAGAGGCGGAGCAACUCUAGAUACUUGGUAGAUAAGUAGGCUGGCAAAAGUCGAAAGAAGUAUAUUUGAUAUACAUGAUGUGUACUUUAUUAGUACUCCUAGUAGCAUGAGGGUAUUGGAUACCGGUUCGGUUGCUAAGUGAUUAGUAACACGAAAUGAUAGCAAUGGCAUAAAUGGAGACUAGCUAAAGGCGAGGUGACGAUACGUGUUGGAAGUGUUUCCAAGAUUGAUAUGAUCAAAACGUCGCACGCUCCCUCUACCAUCGGGAUUGGUGUUAAACCUAAAUAAUUGUUAUUUGGUGCUUGCGUUAAGCAUGAACAUGAUUGGAUCAUGUUUAUUGCAAUACGAUUAUUCAUUUAAAGAGAAUAAUGGUUACUCUAUUUGCUUGAAUAAUCACCUUCAAUGGUUUAUUGAAUCUCGAUCGUAGUGUUACACAUGUUCAUGAUAUUGGUGCCAAAAGACACGAGGUAAUAAUGAUAGUACCACUUACUUGUGGCACUGCCGCUGGAGUCAUGUUGGUAUAAAUUGCAUGAAGAGGCUCCAUGCUGAUGGAUCUUUAUACUCACUUGAUUUUGAAUCACUAGUGACAUGCAAAUCAUACCACAUGAGCAAGGCCUUGUUUUUCAUUGAGAUGAAACAAGAUAGUAACUUGUUGGAAGUGAUGCAUUUUGACGUAUGCAGUCCAAUGGGUGCUGAGGCACGCAGUGGAUAUCAUUAUGUUCUUACUUCAAUGAAUAUUUGAGCAGAUACAAGACUAUUUGCUUAAUGAAUCACAAGUCUGAAAUAUUGAAAAGUUCAAUUCUGUUUCAGAGUGAAGUUCGUCGUAACAAAAGGAUAAACUGUCUAUGAUAUGAUCAUAGAAAUGAAUAUCUGAGUUACGAGUUUUGGUACGCAGUUAAGACAAUGUGGAAAUUGUUUCGCAGUUCAUGCCACCUGGAACAUCAUAGUGUGAUGAUGUGUCUGAACGUCAUAGCCACGCACUAUUUGGUAUGGUGCAUACUAUGAUGUCUCUUAUCAAAAUACCACUAUCGUUUAUGGGUUAUGCAUUAGAGACAACCACAUUCACUUUAAAAUAGGGCACCGUGUAUUUCCGUUGAGAUGACACAGUAUAGACUGAGGUUUAGAGAAAUCUAAACUGUCGUUUCUUGAAAGUUUGGGGCUUCGACACUUAUGUGAAAAAGUUUCAGUCUGAUAAGCUCGAACCCAAAGCGGAUAAAUGCAUCUUCAUAGGAUAUCCAAAACAGUUGGGUACAUCUCCUAUCUCAGAUCCGAAAGCAAAGUGUUUGUUUCCAGAAACGGAUCCUUUCUCGAGGAAAGGUUUCUCUCGAAAGAAUUGAGUGGGAGGGUGGUAGAAUUUGAUGAGGUUAUUGAACCGUCACUUCGACCAGUGUGUAGCAGGGCGCAGGAAGUUGUUCCUGUGGCGCCUACACCAAUUGAAGUGAAAGCUGAUGAGGGUGAUCAUCGAGCAUCAGAUCAAGUUACUACAAACCUCGUAGGUUGACAAGGUCACGUACUAGUGCAGAGUGGUACGGUAACCCUGUCUUGGAGGUCACGUUGUUGAGCAACAGUGAACCUACGAGUUAUGGAGAAGCAAUGGUGGGCCCGGAUUCCGACAAAUGGCUUGAGGCCAUGAAAUCCGAGAGAGGAUCCAUAUAUAAAACAAAGUGUAGACUUUGGAGGAACUACUUGAUGGUAGUAAGACUAUUGAGUAAAGAUGGAUCUUUGUAAGGAAGACAUACGACGAUGGUGAUAAGUCACUAUUAAGAAAAGCUUGACUUGUCGCAAAGAUGUUUCUGACAAGAUCAAACAGUUGACUAUGAUGAGACUUUCUCACUCGUAGCGAUGCUAAUAGUCUGUUGGAAUUAUGUUAGUAGUUGCUGCAUUAUUUAUAAAAUAUUGCACAUAGGAUGUCAAAACAUUGUUUCCUCAAUGGUUUCCUUGAGCAAACAUUGUAUGUGAUACAACCAGAAGGUUUUGUCGAUCCUAAAGAUACUAACAAGUAUGCAAGCUCCAGUGAUCCUUCAAUGGACUGGUGCAAGCAUCUCGGAGUUGGAAUAUACACUUUGAUGAGGUGAUCAAAGAUUUUGGGUUUGUACAAGGUUUAUGAGAAACUUGUAUUUCCAAAGAAGUGAGUGGGAGCACUAUAGUAUUUCUGAUAAGUAUAUGUGGUUGACAUAUUGUGGAUCAGAAGUAAUGUAGAAUUUCUGUAAAGCAUACAAGGUUAUUUGAAAGGUUUUUCAAAGGAAUACCUCGAUUGAGCUACUUGAACAUUGAGCAUCAAGAUCUAUGGAGAUAGAUCAAAACACUUAAUAGAAGUUUCAACAAAAUGCAUGCCUUGACAAGUUUUGAAGGAGUUCAAAAUAGAUCAGCAAAGGAGUUCUUGGUUGCGUUGUGAGGUGUGAAUUUGAGUAAGACUCAAAACCCGACCACGGCAGAAUAAAGAGAAUAGACGAAGGUCGUCUUCUGUGCCUUAGCCGAAGACUCUAAAGUAUGCCAUGCUGAGUACCGCACAUGAUGUGUGCCUUGCACUCUCAUGAGAGGUACAGAGAGUGAUCCAUGAUUGAAUCACUAGCAGCGGUCAAAAUUUAUCCUUAGUAACUGAUAGACUAAGGAAUUUUUCUCGAUUAUGGAGGUGGUUAAAGAGUUCAUCGUAAAGGGUUACGUUGAUGCAAGCUUUGACACUAAUCCGAAUAACUAUGAGUAGUGAAACGGAUUCAUAUAGUAGAGUAGAUAUUUGGAGUAUUUCCGAAUAGCCCAUAGUAGCAGCAUCUAUAAGAUGACAUAAAGAUUUGUAAAGAACACACGGACCUGAAAGUUUCAGAACCGUUGACUAAAACCUCUCUCACGAGCAAGACGUGAUCAGACCCCAUAAAUAUAUGGGUGUUGGAUUCGUUGGAAUCACAUGGUGAUGUGAACUAGAUUAUUGACUCUAGUGCAAGUGGGAGACUGUUGGAAAUAUGCCCUAGAGGCAAUAAUAAAUUAGUUAUUAUUAUGUACGGGCGACUCAAACGGACAAAAUGGAUCAUUGAAAGGACGUGGAUGUCGCCUAGAGGGGGUGAAUAGGCGCUUUUAAAAUAACUAUGGUUUAGGCUUGAACAAAUGCGGAAUAAAACUAAUGUUUAAUUUGUCAAGCACAAAACCUAAAACAACCAGGCUCACCUAUGUGCACCAACAACUUUUGCUAAGGAAGAUAAACAACGAAGUGAUAGCGAGAAAUACAACAAGAAAUAAUAUGGCUAUCACAAAUUAAAGUGCAUAAGCAAAGAGCUCGGGUGAGAGAUAACCAUGCCACGCGGAGACGACGAUGUAUCCCGAGGUUCACACCCUUGCGGAUGCUAAUCUCAGUUUGAAGCGGUGUGGAGGCACAAUGCUCCCCAAUAUGCCACUUGUUGGAAAUAUGCCCUAGAGGCAAUAAUAAAUUAGUUAUUAUUAUAUUUCUUAGUUCAUGAUAAUCGUUUAUUAUCCAUGCUAUAAUUGUAUUGAAUGAAGACUUAUAUACAUGUGUGGAUACAUAGACAAAACACUGUCCCUAGCAAGCCUCUAGUUGGCUAGUCAGUUGAUCAAAGAUAGUCAGGGUCUUCUGAUUAUGAACAAGGUGUUGUUGCUUGAUAACUGGAUCACGUCAUUAGGAGAAUCACGUGAUGGACUAGACCCAAACUAAUAGACGUAGCAUGUUGAUCGUGUCAUUUUGUUGCUACUGUUUUCUGCGUGUCAAGUAUUUGUUCCUAUGACCAUGAGAUCAUAUAACUCACNNNNNNNNNNNNNNNNNNNNNNNNNNNNNNNNNNNNNNNNNNNNNNNNNNNNNNNNNNNNNNNNNNNNNNNNNNNNNNNNNNNNNNNNNNNNNNNNNNNNNNNNNNNNNNNNNNNNNNNNNNNNNNNNNNNNNNNNNNNNNNNNNNNNNNNNNNNNNNNNNNNNNNNNNNNNNNNNNNNNNNNNNNNNNNNNNNNNNNNNNNNNNNNNNNNNNNNNNNNNNNNNNNNNNNNNNNNNNNNNNNNNNNNNNNNNNNNNNNNNNNNNNNNNNNNNNNNNNNNNNNNNNNNNNNNNNNNNNNNNNNNNNNNNNNNNNNNNNNNNNNNNNNNNNNNNNNNNNNNNNNNNNNNNNNNNNNNNNNNNNNNNNNNNNNNNNNNNNNNNNNNNNNNNNNNNNNNNNNNNNNCUGGAUCAAGAAGGCCGAGAUCAUCGUCGAGUUGUACGUGUGCUGAACGCGGAGGUGCCGUCCGUUCGACACUAGAUCGUGGGACUGAUCGCGGGACGGUUCGCGGGGCUGAUCGAGGGACGUGAGGACGUUCCACUACAUCAACCGCGUUCACUAACGCUUCUGCUGUACGGUCUACAAGGGUACGUAGAUCACACAUCCCCUCUCGUAGAUGGACAUCACCAUGAUAGGUCUUCGUGCGCGUAGGAAAUUUUUUGUUUCCCAUGCGACGUUCCCCAACAGCACUAAGGCCACCGUAAUCUCCUCACGCCCUCGCACAAUGCAAGUUGUCGUGAUUCCACUAAGGGACCCUUGAGGGCGGUCACCGAACCCGUACAAACAAGGUUGGGGCAAUCUUCACAACUUAAUUGAAGGCUCCGAACAACACCAGGAAGCUUCAUCACAAUGGCAUAUGGCUUCGAGGUGACACAAAUGCUCGGCGCAAUCUCCACAACUUAAUUGGAGAUCUGGCGCUUUCCCGGAGCUUUACACCACAAUGAUUAAGCUUCGAGGCACCACCAAACUGCUAAGACGCCAAAGCAUCCACGAAGAACAAUAACUAGGGUACCAAGUACCAAAGGGUAAUAAGCUUCUCAAACUUCACGUGCACGCAUCACCGUGGAGAAGUCAAACAUAUGCACCAAAUGCAAUGGCAAGGGCACACGGAAUGCCCAAGUCCUUCACUCCCGAAUCCCACCACAACUACUAAUGCUAUGGUGUAAAAUGAGCGGAAGAACAAAGAAGAACACCAAGAACUCAAAAAACUAGAUCCAAGGGGUUCCCCUCACUUAAAGGAGAAAGUGAUUGGUGGAAGUGUGGAUCUAGAUCUCCUCUCUCUUUUCCCACAAAAAAGGAGCAAGAAUCAUUGGAGGGAUUGAGAGUUAGCAAGCUCAAAGAAGGUCAACAAUGGGGGAAGAACACGAGCUCAACAGAUAAGAACCAUUGGAGAAGAAGACCCCCUUUAUAUAGUGGGCAAAAGAAUCCAACCAUUACCCCCACUUACAUCCCGAGCAAAGCGGUACUACCGCUCCCCCAUGCAGUACUACCGCUGCCCGGUGUUGUACUACUGCACGCACGGUAGUGGCAGAGGGAGGAACUAUUGCACGGGGCAACGAGCGGUAGAACCACCGAAGUGGUACUACCGCACGCCCUUAAGGUACUAUCGCAUGGUAGUAUCCAACUGCCACAGAAGGUACACGGAAGUAAAAACUUACUUCCGUGUUUACCUCGGGUGAGGCUACGGCUGUGCAAAAAUCUGACACUGUAGUACCGGACACGGUUUUGUGGUACUACUGCUCGAGGGCGGUAGUAAAAAACUAUGUCCGCUCUUUACACAGCGGAAGUACCGGGCGGUACUUCCGUGGUACCGAGCGGUACUACCGUAGUACCGAGCGGUACUACCGCAUGUUUAGAGAAAAACAGCUAUGGAACUGAAACUACCAUAACCUUUGCAUACGAGCUCCGAAUCGAGCGAACUCAAACUUGUUGAAUUCAGGAUGACAAGAGCUAUCCAAAUAGCGACUACAAAUCUUAAGAACAUGGAGUUGUGAAAAUGCCAAUUAUAUAGAGAUGUAAGACCUCUAUGAAUAAAGAACCGACAAAAAUUCCAACAUCGAAAACAUCGUAGAAGAUGCAUAUGGACUCUGUUUUCGAUGAACUCGAGCUUGUCAUGAAAAUAACCAUAAACUCUAAAACUCACAAAGAGAAACACCAAACAAGAACCAAAAACUAUGAUGCAAGGAUGCAAAUAGUUUGAGGUGUCAACGAACGAUACGAUCAAGCUACUCACUUGGGAGCCCCCUUGACAGUACAACAAUCUAUCCUGAAAUAGAAAAAACCUAUCAAGGGCAAACAUAUACCUUGCACCUAGUUCUCUUGAGCUAGAUGACGAUGAUCUUGACUUCCUCAAGAUGGACCACCUUUGUUGAUUGCGUUGGUUUGACGAAGACUAGUUGAUUGCUCUCCCAUACUCACUAUGGGUGAGCUACUCUUCAGCACAUCUUUACAAGUCCAUUGUCACCACAAUGAACGGCAAGCUUCAAGCAUGAUAUCUUCAUGAUGCUCCACUUGAACUUGCACAACACAAUCUUGAUGACGAUCGCCACUUAAUGGCAUCCUUUAUAGGCUGAAUGAGAUCUUCCUCUUGACACAAACCCAUGGAAACACACCUAAGCCCACAUAGAACUCUCACGGAGACCAUGGGUUAGUACACAAAAGCGUUAUGGACAAUGCUUACCAUACCAUGGGAUCACUUGAUCCCUCUCGGUACAUCUUGUAUGCUUUGUCUGUUGAUUAUCUUGAUUUACUCUUUGCUUAGUCUUGGUCAACCUUGUGUCUUUAUGAACAAUCUUUAGAUAAUACUUUGAAUAACACCUUGGUCAUCAUAUAAACUCCUUGAAACAACAGAUGGACUUCAAAAAGUGCCCAUAGACAAAUCCUUUAAAUAUAACUCAAUGCAAUCAUUAGUCCAUAAAAAUUGUUAUCAAUUACUAAAACCACAUACGGAGAAAUAUGCUCUAAUAAUCACCCAGUUGGAGUUGCUCUAAGAAGGCCGAAUCCUGAAUGUCCGAGUGAGAAUUAUGAUACUGUGAUUUUUCAGAUUAUUUGAAUGUUUCGUACUUUCGUUUUGUUUCUUCAGCGGUAUAUCACGUCUCCUCUAGUCAUCGCCGAGUCAGUGGAAACUGUGUGAGCGAGCAAUGGCCACGCUGGAAGAUGUCGACGUGCAACGGAGGAGAUGUGACCGGUCAGCACCAAGCACGCGGUGACUCAGUUGCAUACGGAGCACCUCAUAUCGUUGUGUCGUCAUUCUCACCUUGAAAAAAAAAACACUUUAGCCGACUCCUCUAGUAGUAGUCCUCACUCUGCAACCACCGCAAUACAAUUUUUUUUUAACUUUUGACCUAACAAAUUAUGAAAUCAACCUUAUUUAAAAAAAAUCGAAUAUGAUCUUUUUUGUGACGUUAACAUCUCUGACGUGUGGGUUACACGGACAACGCCUUGAUCCGUGGGGUGAGUCCGUGGCCUGCAUCAUCGGCUCAUCCCUUGCCUAAGAUACGUGGCAAAGGAUGAGGCCCAAAACAUCAAGGAUGUUGGCGUCUUGUCCCAACAAAUCACGCAAUUUUUUUAUAAUAUGUGUCACAUCAUUCACAUGACAAGGUCCUUUGUGUUUGGUCAUUUACCACGGACAAAUGCUAAUGACCGUGGCGUCUAGUCCUUUGUUACGUCGGGAGUGAAUGGUGAGUCGGUCGUGCGGGCCGUACCAGACGCCAGCCAUCUUGGCGUCUUCAAACGAGACAUCAGGAAUGUUGACAUCACCAAAAAAUGUCAGAUUAAAUAAAAAAAUAAUGUUAAUUCUGGAAUUUAUCAAACAAAAGGUGAAAACAAAAGAAAAUUGUCCACCUCUCCAACCUACACCAACCAAACUCGGGAGUCAUCACAGCGAAAAGAGUUGUUAAAAUAAAUUCCGAAGGCGAGCGUGUCACCAUUUUCCAUCGUCAGUGUCCGCCGAUCCAGAUUACGUGCGACUAGUUCACUGCUAAAGCAAGGCACCAAACAAAGCGGGCGCUCGUUAAGGCAGGCAGUAAACAAAGCGGGCGCAGAUCUCGACAGAGCUGCCCCCUAGGACGAAGCCCGAUGCGAGAUGCCAUCUACCCGUGGAAUCUUGAGGCGUGCGACGGCCUGCAGAUUGCAACUGCAAGAUGCAUCCCUCUUGGACCGGAACCGGAUGAGACCAGCUGGCAGCUUCUCGGUUAAACAACGCACAUCUCGUGAGCCGCAUCCAUCCCUUCUCCCCAAAGUUUCAGCGUACUACCUGCCAGCAGAUCUCACCAAGUGGUGUGUGUGACAAGGUGGGUCGUCUGAUUGAGCAGACAAGAUCAGUACGCGUGCCAAGCUCCCAGCGUCUCGGCACCUGUACGCAAGCUGCGACCUGGCGCGCAUGCACCGCACGGCCCCAAAGAUUCCCGGACGGACGGAGCACCGGCCGGUGAAAAGGAAGUGGCAUCAAACUCUUUUCUGGUUUUCUUUUGGUUUCAUUUUUUUCUGAAAUAAAGGCCACGAAUGAUAUACUCCUACUACCAGGUGGGCGCGCACUUGCUGUCGUUUGUCAUUGGCGUGCCUGAACCAUGUGCGGUGUCUCCGAGCCUGUCCAACACGUCCCUUGUGUUUGUUUGUUGUUAAUAAAGUGCCGGGACACUAAUUAUCGACACCAAGACGUUCGUGUUACUUUAAUCCAAAGCUAGAGUAGAUCUGAUGCCCUCGUUCCCGACAAGUGGCACGGCGGGUGCUUGUGUGGUGAUUAUUGACGACAAUGCUCUCAGGCUAACAUAAGUAAUAAUGUAGAUGUCACGUAAAAGAACGAUGAUGUGAUAAAUAGUUAUUAAAAAAGGUAAAUAAAGAAACAUAAUAUGCAAUCAUCAUAUAACGUUUUUCAAUACAAAAUGGCUCUAGACAAUAAUAACUAAGGACACUUAAUCGUCCCUGUGACACUAUCCACAGGGCCGGCUUUGGCCCAGUGCGAGAGGUGCGCCGGCCCGGGGCCCGGCCUAAAGAGGGACCCAUAGUAUAUGUACAUAUUACAGAGUAAAGAUAAUUGGGGACGAGGCUCCAGGAAGGCACCGUGUACCAUCACUACGCCUUGGGGGAUACGUAGCGCUCGCAGAGGACUAACCCUAGCGGCGCCUAGGGUUUAGGGUUUUACUCCGGCGGUCUCCUUGCCGCCGUGAGGUUUCUUUACACCUCUCAGCUCCGAUCGAAAGGAGGGGGAAAGCGCCGAUCGACUUGGAGUCGACGAUGAAGAACAUGAAGCUGAAGGAGUCAGAGCUAGAUGCAGUAACGGUGGGGGAGGAGGAGAUUGCCCAAUUCACGCAAGAAAAUCGAUGGCUAGCAGUAGCAAGAGUAAACACGAACAAGACGUUCAGCGCUGAAUCCUUUAAAACAACUAUGAAGUUCAUCUGGCGGCUUGCGCAGGAACCAUCUAUUCGUGAAGCGGAUGACAAUCUAUUCAUUCCCGGUACAUUCCCGGUAACUCCGAAAACCUUCCGGUAAUCAAAUGAGGUCAUCCUAUAUAUCAAUCUUCGUUUCCGGACCAUUCCGGAAACCCUCGUGACGUCCGUGAUCUUAUACGGGACUCCGAACAACAUUCGGUAACCAACCAUAUAACUCAAAUACGCAUAAAACAACGUCGAACCUUAAGUGUGCAGACCCUGCGGGUUCGAGAACUAUGUAGACAUGACCCGAGAGACUCCUCGGUCAAUAUCCAAUAGCGGGACCUGGAUGCCCAUAUUGGAUCCUACAUAUUCUACGAAGAUCUUAUCGUUUGAACCUCAGUGCCAAGGAUUCAUAUAAUCCCGUAUGUCAUUCCCUUUGUCCUUCGGUAUGUUACUUGCCCGAGAUUCGAUCGUCAGUAUCCGCAUACCUAUUUCAAUCUCGUUUACCGGCAAGUCUCUUUACUCGUUCCGUAAUACAAGAUCCCGCAACUUACACUAAGUUACAUUGCUUGCAAGGCUUGUGUGUGAUGUUGUAUUACCGAGUGGGCCCCGAGAUACCUCUCCGUCACACGGAGUGACAAAUCCCAGUCUUGAUCCAUACUAACUCAACUAACACCUUCGGAGAUACCUGUAGAGCAUCUUUAUAGUCACCCAGUUACGUUGCGACGUUUGAUACACACAAAGCAUUCCUCCGGUGUCAGUGAGUUAUAUGAUCUCAUGGUCAUAGAAAUAAAUACUUGACACGCAGAAAACAGUAGCAACAAAAUGACACGAUCAACAUGCUACGUCUAUUAGUUUGGGUCUAGUCCAUCACGUGAUUCUCCUAAUGACGUGAUCCAGUUAUCAAGCAACAACACCUUGUUCAUAAUCAGAAGACACUGACUAUCUUUGAUCAACUGGCUAGCCAACUAGAGGCUUGCUAGGGACGGUGUUUUGUCUAUGUAUCCACACAUGUAAAUGAGUCUUCAUUCAAUACAAUUAUAGCAUGGAUAAUAAACGAUUAUCUUGAUACAGGAAUUAUAAUAAUAACUAUAUUUAUUAUUGCCUCUAGGGCAUAAUUCCAACAAUCUCCCACUUGCACUAGAGUCAAUAAUCUAGCCCUCACAUCAUCAUGCGAAUUACAUUGUAAUAAAUCUAACACCCAUACAGUUCUGGUGUUGAUCAUGCUUUGGCCGUGGAAGAGGUUUAGUCAGCGGGUCUCCUACAUUCAGAUCCGUGUGCACUUUGCGUAUAUUUACGUCCUCUCCCUCGACGUAGUCGCGGAUGAGGUUGAAGCGUCGUUUGAUGUGUCUGGUCUUCUUGGAAAACCGUGGUUCCUUUGCUAAGGCAAUGGCACCCGUGUUGUCACAGAACAAGGUUAUUGGAUUCAGUGCGCUUGGCACCACUCCAAGAUCCGUCAUGAACUGCUUCAUCCAGACACCCUCCUUAGCCGCCUCCGAGGCAGCCAUGUACUCCGCUUCACAUGUAGAAUCUGCUACGACGCUUUGCUUGGAACUGCACCAGCUUACCGCACCCCCAUUAAGAAUAAAUACGUAUCCGGUUUGCGACUUAGAGUCGUCCGGAUCUGUGUCAAAGCUUGCAUCGACGUAACCUUUUACGGCGAGCUCUUCGUCACCUCCAUACACGAGAAACAUCUCCUUAGUCCUUUUCAGGUACUUCAGGAUAUUCUUGACCGCUGUCCAGUGAUCCACUCCUGGAUUACUCUGGAACCUACCUGCCAUACUUACGACCAGGCUAACAUCCGGUCUAGCGCACAGCAUUGCAUACAUGAUAGAACCUAUGGCUGAAGCAUAGGGGACGGAGCGCAUAUGCUCUCUAUCUUCAUCAGUUGCUGGGCACCGAGUCUUACUCAAUCUCUUACCUUGUAAAACUGGCAAGAAUCCUUUCUUGGACUGUUCCAUUUUGAACCUCUUCAAAACUUUAUCAAGGUAUGUGCUUUGUGAAAGUCCUAUCAGGUGUUUUGAUCUAUCCCUAUAGAUCUUAAUGCCUAGAAUGUAAGCAGCUUCUCCUAGGUCCUUCAUAGAGAAACUUUUAUUCAAGUAAUCCUUUAUGCUCUCCAAAAACUCCACGUUGUUUCCAAUCAGCAAUAUGUCAUCCACAUAUAAUAUUAGAAACGCCACAGAGCUCCCACUCACUUUCUUGUAAAUACAAGAUUCUCCAACCACUUGUAUAAACCCAAAUGCUUUGAUCACCUCAUCAAAGCGUUUGUUCCAACUCCGAGAUGCUUGCACCAGUCCAUAAAUGGAUCGCUGGAGCUUGCACACCUUGUUAGCAUUCUUAGGAUCGACAAAACCUUCGGGUUGCAUCAUAUACAAUUCUUCCUUAAGGAAACCGUGAAGGAAUGCCGUUUUGACAUCCAUCUGCCAGAUUUCAUAAUCGAAAAAUGCAGCUAUUGCUAACAUGAUUCUGACGGACUUAAGCAUCGCUACGGGUGAGAAUGUCUCAUCGUAGUCAACUCCUUGAACUUGUGAAAAACCCUUUGCCACAAGUAGAGCUUUAUAAACGGUCACAUUGCCGUCAGCGUCCGUCUUUCUCUUAAAGAUCCAUUUGUUCUGAAUAGCCUUGCGGCCUUCAGGCAGUACCUCCAAAGUCCACACUUUGUUCUCAUACAUGGAUCCUAUCUCGGAGUUCAUGGCUUCUAGCCAUUUGUUGGAAUCUGGGCCCACCAUUGCUUCUUCAUAAUUUGCAGGUUCAUUGUUGUCCAACAACAUGAUUGACAAGACGGGAUUACCGUACCACUCUGGAGCAACACGUGGUCUCGUCGACCUGCGUGGUUGGACAGAAACUUGAACCGGAGUUUCAUGAUCAUCAUCAUUAACUUCCUCCUCAACCGGCGUCGCAACGACACAGGUUUCCCCUUGCCCUGCGCCACCAUCCAGAGGGAUGAGAGGUUCGACAACCUCGUCAAGUUCUAUCUUCCUCCCACUCAAUUCUCUCGAGAGAAACUCCUUCUCGAGAAAAGCUCCAUUUUUAGCAACAAACACUUUGCCCUCGGAUUUGAGAUAGAAGGUGUACCCAACUGUCUCUUUUGGGUAACCUAUGAAGACGCACUUUUCCGCUUUGGGUUCCAGCUUUUCAGGCUGAAGCUUUUUGACAUAAGCAUCACAUCCCCAAACUUUAAGAAACGACAACUUUGGCCUUUUGCCAUACCACAGUUCGUAUGGUGUCGUCUCAACGGAUUUUGAUGGUGCCCUAUUUAAAGUGAAUGCAGCUGUUUCUAAUGCAUAACCCCAAAACGAUAACGGCAAAUCGGUAAGAGACAUCGUAGAUCGCACCAUCUCUAAUAAAGUACGAUUACGAUGUUCGGACACACCAUUACGCUGUGGUGUUCCAGGCGGUGUUAACUGCGAAACAAUUCCACAUUGUCUUAAGUGAGCACCAAACUCGAAACUCAGAUAUUCACCCCCACGAUUAGACCGUAGGAAUUUGAUCUUCUUGUUACGAUGAUUUUCAACUUCACUCUGAAAUUGCUUGAACUUUUCAAAUGUUUCAGACUUGUGCUUCAUCAAGUAGACAUAACCAUAUCUACUCAAAUCGUCAGUGAAGGUGAGAAAAUAACGAUAUCCGCCGCGUGCCUCCACGCUCAUCGGACCACACACAUCAGUAUGUAUGAUUUCCAACAAGUCACUUGCACGCUCCAUUGUUCCGGAGAACGGAGUCUUAGUCAUCUUGCCCAUGAGGCAUGGUUCGCACGUGUCAAGUGAAUCAAAGUCAAGUGACUCCAAAAGUCUAUCAGCAUGGAGUUUCUUCAUGCGCUUUACACCAAUAUGACCUAAGUGGCAGUGCCACAAAAAUAUGGCGCUAUCAUUGUUAACUCUAACUCUUUUGGUCUCAAUGUUAUGUAUAUGUGUAUCGCUAUCAAGAUUCAAUAUGAACAAUCCUCUCACAUUAGGUGCAUGACCAUAAAAGAUGUUACUCAUAGAAAUAGAACAACCAUUAUUCUCUGACUUAAAAGAGUAACCGUCUCGCAAUAAACAAGAUCCAGAUAUAAUGUUCAUGCUCAACGCAGGCACUAAAUAACAAUGAUUUAAGUUCAUCACUAAUCCUGAUGGUAACUGAAGUGAAACUGUGCCGACGACGAUUGCAUCAACCUUGGAACCAUUUCCUACGCGCAUCGUCACUUCAUCUUUUGCCAGCCUUCGUCUAUUCCGCAGUUCCUGUUUCGAGUUGCAAAUAUGAGCAACAGAACCGGUAUCGAAUACCUAGGCACUACUACGAGAGACGGUUAAGUACACAUCAAUAACAUAUAUAUCAAAUAUACCUGAUUUUUCUUUGGCCGCCUUCUUAUCUGCCAGAUACUUGGGGCAAUUGCGCUUCCACUGACCCAUACCCUUGCAAUAGUAACACUCCGUUUCAGGCUUAGGUCCAGCUUUGGGUUUCUUCGUCGGAUUGGCAACAGGCUUGCCGCUCUUCUUCGAAUUACCCUUCUUGCCUUUGCCGUUUCUCUUGAAACUAGUGGUCUUAUUCACCAUCAACACUUGAUGCUCUUUACGGAGUUCAGACUCUGCGACUUUCAGCAUCGCAAACAACUCGCCGGGAGACUUGUUCAUCCCUUGCAUGUUGUAGUUCAACACAAAGCCUUUAUAGCUUGGCGACAGUGAUUGAAGGAUUCUGUCAGUGAUGGCCUCUUGCGGGAGUUCAAUCCCCAGCUCAGCUAGACGGUUUGAGUACCCAGACAGUUUGAGCACAUGUUCACUGACAGACGAGUUUUCCUCCAUCUUGCAAGCAUAGAAUUUAUCGGAGGUCUCAUACCUCUCGAUCUGGGCGUUCUUCUGAAAGAUAAACUUCAACUCCUGGAACAUCUCAAAUGCUCCAUGACGCUCAAAGCGACGUUGAAGUCCCGGUUCUAAGCCAUACAAGACUGCACAUUGAACUACUGAGUAGUCGUCCUUACGUGCUAACCAAGCGUUCUUAACAUCCUGAUCAGCCGUAGCGGGUGGUUCAUCUCCUAGCGCAGCAUUAAGGACAUAAUCCUUCUUCCCAGCUUGUAAGAUUAGCUUAAGAUUACGAGCCCAGUCUACAAAGUUGCUUCCAUCAUCUUUCAACUUAGCUUUCUCUAGGAACGUAUUAAAAUUUAGGGUGACUGUCGCGUGAGCCAUGAUCUACAACACAAAUAUAUUCAAAGUGGACUUAGACUAUGUUCAAGAUAAUUAGAGUUUAACUUUAAUCAAAAUUAUACGCUAAACUCCCACUCAAAAAGUACAUAUCUCUUAGUCAUUUGAGUGGUUCAUGAUCCACUUACACUAGCUCAAGUCCGAUCAUCACGUGAGUUGAGUAUAGUUUCAGUCGUAAGCAUCCCUAUGCUAAUCAUAUCAUCUAUAUGAUUCAGGAUCGACCUUUCGGUCUCAUGUGUUCCGAGGCCAUGUCUGCACAUGCUAGGCUCGUCAAGCUUAACCCGAGUGUUCCGCGUGCGCAACUGUUUUGCACCCGUUGUAUGUGAACGUUGAGUCUAUCACACCCGAUCAUCACGUGGUGUCUCGAAACGACGAACUAUAGCAACGGUGCACAGUCGGGGAGAACACAAUUUCAUCUUGAAAUUUUAAUGAGAGAUCACCUCAUAAUGCUACCGUCGUUCUAAGCAAAAUAAGGUGCAUAAAAGGAUUAACAUCACAUGCAAUUCAUAAGUGACAUGAUAUGGCCAUCAUCACGUGCUUCUUGAUCUCCAUCACCAAAGCACCGGCACGGUCUUCUUGUCACCGUCGCCACGCCAUGCUCUCCAUCAACGUGUUGCCAUCGAGGUUGUCGUGCUACUCAUGCUAUUACUACUAAAGCUACAUCCUAGCAAAAUAGUAAACGCAUCUGCAAGCACAAACGUUAGUAUAAAGACAACCCUAUGGCUCCUGCCGGUUGACGUACCAUCCACGUGCAAGUCGAUAUUUUCUAUUACAACAUGAUCAUCUCAUACAUCCAAUAUAUCACAUCACAUCGUUGGCCAUAUCACAUCACAAGCAUACCCUGCAAAAACAAGUUAGACGUCCUCUAAUUUUGUUGUUGCAUGUUUUACGUGGUGACCAUGGGUAUCUAGUAGGAUCGCAUCUUACUUACGCAAACACCACAACGGAGAUAUAUGAGUUGCUAUUUAACCUCAUCCAAGGACCUCCUCGGUCAAAUCCGAUUCAACUAAAGUUGGAGAAACCGACACUUGCCAGUCAUCUUUGAGCAACGGGGUUACUCGUAGUGAUGAAACCAGUCUCUCGUAAGCGUACGAGUAGUGUCGGUCCAAGCCGCUUCAAUCCAACAAUACCGCGGAAUCAAGAAAAGACUAAGGAGGGCAGCAAAACGCACGUCACCGCCCACAAAACCUUUUGUGUUCUACUCGAGAAGACAUCUACGCAUGAACCUAGCUCAUGAUGCCACUGUUGGGGAACGUCGCAUGGGAAACAAAAAAUUUCCUACGCGCACGAAGACCUAUCAUGGUGAUGUCCAUCUACGAGAGGGGAUGAGUGAUCUACGUACCCUUGUAGAUCGUACAGCAGAAGCGUUAGAGAACGCGGUUGAUGUAGUGGAACGUCCUCACGUCCCUCGAUCCGCCCCGCGAACAAUCCCGCGAUCAGUCCCACGAUCUAGUACCGAACGGACGGCACCUCCGCGUUCAGCACACGUACAGCUCGACGAUGAUCUCGGCCUUCUUGAUCCAGCAAGAGAGACGGAGAGGUAGAAGAGUUCUCCGGCAGCGUGACGGCGCUCCGGAGGUUGGUGAUGAUCUUGUCUCAGCAGGGCUCCGCCCGAGCUCCGCAGAAACGCGAUCUAGAGGAAAAACCGUGGAGGUAUGUGGUCGGGCUGCCGUGGAAAAGUCGUCUCAAAUCAGCCCUAAAACCUCCGUAUAUAUAGGUGGGAGGGAGGGGAGGAGGCAGCCCCAAAACCUAAAGGUUUGGCCGAAAUUGGAGGUGGAGGAGUCCUACUCCAAUCCUACUUGGAGUAGGAUUCCACCUUCCCACUUGGAAACUCUUUCCACCUUGUGUUUUUUCCUUCUCAAACCUUAUGGGCCUUAGUGUGAACUUAUUCCAGCCCACUAGGGCCUGGUUUAUCUCUUCCCAUAGCCCAUGAGACCCCUUGGGGCGUGACACCCCUCCCGAUGGUCCCCGGCACCCCUCCCGGCACUCCCGGUACACUACCGAUGAGCCCGAAACUUUUCCGGUAAUGCACGAAAACCUUCCGGUAACCAAAUGAGGUCAUCCUAUAUAUCAAUCUUCGUUUUCGGACCAUUCCGGAAACCCUCGUGACGUCCGUGAUCUCAUCCGGGACUCCGAANNNNNNNNNNNNNNNNNNNNNNNNNNNNNNNNNNNNNNNNNNNNNNNNNNNNNNNNNGCAGAAAACAGUAGCAACAAAAUGACACGAUCAACAUGCUACGUCUAUUAGUUUGGGUCUAGUCCAUCACGUGAUUCUCCUAAUGACGUGAUCCAGUUAUCAAGCAACAACACCUUGUUCAUAAUCAGAAGACACUGACUAUCUUUGAUCAACUGGCUAGCCAACUAGAGGCUUGCUAGGGACGGUGUUUUGUCUAUGUAUCCACACAUGUAAAUGAGUCUUCAUUCAAUACAAUUAUAGCAUGGAUAAUAAACGAUUAUCUUGAUACAGGAAUUAUAAUAAUAACUAUAUUUAUUAUUGCCUCUAGGGCAUAAUUCCAACAAAAAUCAGUGGGGAGGAGAUCAUGCUGCUGAAAAGGAUCGAGAUGGACCUAGAGGGGGGGGGGGUGAAUAGGUACAAAUCCAAAUUUUAAUAAUUACUUAGCAAUUUUAGGCUAAAGUGCGGAAUAUGAGUGUAAGUCUAAUAAUUUCUAAGACAAACAGGGCGGCUUUUCAUUGUGACUAUGGUGCUGCUGCCAUUCACCAGUUCUAUGCCACAUGUUAUUUUGGCUCCGACAACACUGUCAGCUGGAUCACCUCCGACGUUCGCUUCAAAGCCUCUUAUGCCACUUUUGUUGCCGCACUGAGUUUCCCCAAUUCCGGCUACAAAAUACAUAAGGAUGAUCCUAACCAUGCGCCUAAGACUAUUGACGUGUGUGGAUAUCUUCUCAAGCCACUCCGUGAGCUUGAUGCGGAUGAGCGCCUGAAGGACCUUAACCAGGUAUCCAUCUGGCGCUCCCCUUACUUCAUUAUUUUUCAGUGUCUCAUCCGCACCAUCUAUCCCAAGAUGGGUGAUAAGGGCUCUUGCAGUGGCUAUUGUAUCGACAUCAUGUAUCACUUGUUCGAGAACCCCAAGAGCAAAAUCAAUGUGCCUCAUUUCCUAUGGCAUGAGAUUCGGCUUGCUAGCUUUCAGUACAAGCAAGCCUUUCCUCACGCCCCUUUCAUCCAGGCACCUAUUACCCACGUUGCUGAUUUCUCUGUGGCUGCCACUCACACCCAUCGCAAGUGGGUCAUUCCCGCUCACAUGGCGGAUGACUUUGCUCCCAAGAAAGCCCCUUCUUCCUCCACAUCCACUCGCCGCACUACUGCACGGGCCGCCACCCCCCUCAUCUAGCUCCGCUCCUCUCGGUCGCAUUGCCAAGUUCCUUGGCAAAGCUCAUUCUGCUUUGAUGAAGGUUGUCUCCUUUCAUUGUGGUCAAACCCAUGACGUGGUUUCCCGCCUAGUUUCCUCCAAGAAUGCCCUCAAGGCUCGUCUGAGAGCCUCGGGCGCUCUUGAUGUGAGUGACGAUGAGGCCCCUCCUGCUGCUCCUCCUACUGAUUUUGGCUUCCCGUCUGGUCCUGAGUGGUCUGAGUUCUUUGACGAGGCUGGGGGCAGUGGCUUGGCUGAUGAUGCUGAUGAUGAUGGUGAUGAGCUUUGAGUUUGAUUGGUGCUGUUGGCGGCUCCCUUUUUUGGUACUUGGUGCCAAAGGGGGAGUAAUGUAUCGUAGUUAAAUUUUUAUUAUCGUCAUUUUUAGUCUUUGGAGAUUUAAUGUAAUGGAUAAAACUCAUGUAUGGCUACUUAUGAAUGGUUGUGACUCGCUGUGAUAUCAUCAUAGACUAUUAUGUCUUGCUUCCUUAUUUCUAUGAUGAUUUAUUAUCCUUCCAUGUUGAUCCAUUGGAGCUUCAAUUUCUUUAUCAUGCAUAUCUUAAGGGGGAGCUCCGUACUAAAUAUCUCCUAGACUAUAAUGUAUGUUUAAUCUUUUUGAGACCUAUGUAUAUGUUGUCAUCAACUACCAAAAAGGGGGAGAUUGAAAGUGCAUGCUAUGCCCCUAAUCGUCUUUUGGUGUUAAUGACAACACAUACAUAGGAAACUAAUCCUAUUUGUUGAGUGUAUCUCAGGACGGCAAGUACUUUAAGUAGAUAGAGACCAUGUUCAAAAGGGUGACAUUGAUAUUACCCAUGUGGGUACCGACAUGCAGUUAGCCGACAUUUUCACCAAGCCACUUAGCGUAGCUAGGUUCUGUCAACUUAGGCGUGAACUUGGUAUCUUGGAGCUUGACAACAUAUCUUGAAAUCUUGCACACAUAGAUACACUCACAUUAUGGUUGUGUCUUGAUGUGCGCAUAUAUUUAGGGGGAGUGAGUCGUAAGUCUAUGUGUUUUUAAGCUUACAAUGUACGCACAGGUCAUUUCAUGCAUGUAAUGCUUCUAGGAAAACAGUGUUCCUAUUUUGUUUGCGAUACCAUGUCCUCGGGAUAGGAAGAAGCAGAGAGCGGGCUCGUCUCCCCUGAAGAAGACGAACACACAGAGCGAUAUGGCGGGCUCCUUAGAGGAGCGCCGCCGAGCUCAAUGAAUAUCCUGUGUUGGAACUGCCGAGGGGCUGGUAGACCCGAGACAGUUCGUGAGCUUCGCACCAUGGCGAGGCAGUUUUCUCCACUAGUGUUUUGUGUGAUCGAGACUCAACUCCGUGCAGCACGAGUCGAGAAUCUAGCAAGUACACUAGGGUUUGACAAUUCUUUUGCUGUUAGUAGUUGUGGAAGGAGUGGAGGUCUUGGUGUUUUUUGGAACAAUGCAAUAAAGCUUGAGAAUAUUGGUUACUCGGACUAUCACAUAGACUCGCUGAUCACAGUACCAGGGAUCCCCCAGUGGAGGUUAUCUGUGAUCUAUGGAGAGGCACGAGUUGACAACAGACACAUAACGUGGGACCUCAUGCGAUCUUUGUCUUCUGCCAGCACGGGCCCAUGGUUGUGCAUUGGUGAUUUAGCGAGGUUUUGCGACUGGAUGAGUACGAAGGGUCGAGCCAUCGCAGCAUGACACAGGUGAAUGGGUUUAGAGAUGCAGUGGAUGUCUGUGGUCUGAAUGAUCUUGGGUUCUCUGGAACAAGAUGUACUUUUGAAAGGAGAGUGGCAGGGGGGACAUAUACAAGAGUCCGUCUAGAUAGAGCACUGGCGGAUGGGGAAUGGAGCACCCUAUUUCGGCAGGCAACCUUGUCACAUAAAACAGCAGCCACUUCGGAUCAUAAUCCAAUCCUGCUCCAGAUGGAAGGUGACUCCCCUGGCAUCAAUCCCCCCGAGUAGACAAUUCAGAUACGAGAUGAUGUGGGAGGCACAUGAGGGUUUUCAGGAGGAAAUACAGCAACAUUGGCAAGGUCCAGGGGCCACAUCAGUUAAUGAGCUAAAAGCAAAGCUGGAGUCUUUGUCUAAAGGACUCUGAAGUUGGGAUAAAAACACUUUUGGCAACGUACGCAACGAGAUAAAACGCCUAAGUGGAGACCUGAAACUACUUCAAGGGGACCCUGCCCGUAGGGGUCCGUCACACCGGGAGAUCAAGACGAAAGACAAACUAGCAGAACUAUACCAUCGAGAGGAAAUCAUGUGGCGCCAACGAUCUCGUAUUUCAUGGUUAGCGGCAGGCGAUAAGAACACCAAGUUCUUUCAUCUAAGAGCCAGUAAAAGACGCCGCAAAAACAGGAUCAAAUCGUUGGUAAGGGAGGACGGGUCUGUGGUUGACGAUGAAAAGGAAUUGGAGCAUAUGGCAACUGAUUUCUAUCACCAUCUAUACACCUCAGAAGGCACAACAGAUAUGGAGGCUAUCACGGAUACAGUUCCCAGGAGAGUGACGGAUGAAAUGAACCUAGAACUUACUUCUGAGUAUACCAAAGAAGAGGUUAAAACAGUUCUUUUUCAGAUGGCCCCUACUAAAGCACCAGGAGCGGAUGGUUUCCCAGCCCACUUUUUUCAGUGCCACUCGAAUGUUUGCGGUGAUGGGAUCACGAACAUCAUACUGAAAGUUUUGAAAGGGGAGGAAGAAAUUAACGACCUUAAUGAGACUAUACUGGUACUCCUACCUAAGGUAACCAAUCCCACCCUGCUGGCUCAAUUCCGCCCUAUUAGCCUUUGUAAUGUGAUAUAUACAAUAGCAUCCAAAGUCCUUGCUAAUAGAUUAAAAAGCAUCCUCCCGGAAAUCAUAUCACAAGAGCAAUCUGCGUUUGUCGGGGGCAGGUUGAUCACUGACAACAUUAUCUCAGCCUACGAAUGCCUUCAUUUCAUGAAGCGGAACAAGUCCAAGCAGAAUGGGUUUUGUGCUUUGAAAUUAGAUAUGAUGAAAGCUUAUGACCGCCUGGAAUGGGAUUACCUUAAGGCCAUGAUGCUUAGUCUGGGUUUUGCUCCUGGUUGGACUGCUACAAUAAUGAGGAUGGUGAGUUCAGUAAGUUUCUCGGUCUUGUUCAAUGGGAAGAAGUUGGAACAAUUCAAGCCUACAAGAGGAAUUCGACAAGGAGAUCCUUUGUCACCCUACCUUUUCUUGUUAGCAGCAGAGGGCCUUUCGAGCCUCCUAAAAUCUCACAACGAGUCAUCGCCUGUCUAUGGAAUAAAAGUGGCGCCAACGGCCCCUGCGGUCAGCCACUUACUCUUUGCCGAUGAUUGCCUGCUGUUUUUCAAGUCUAGUUGUGAGGGCGCCACUGCCAUAUCUACUAUGUUGGAAACCUAUUGUAGAGCAUCGGGACAAAAAGUAAAUCAAGAAAAGUCAUCAAUCUUUUUCAGUCGAGGUUGUCCCCCAGUGAUCAAAGAAUCCAUUAAAGCUAUUCUUCACGUUCAGAAUGAAAGUCUAACAGAAAAAUAUCUUGGCAUGCCCACAGAUGUGGGGAGCAGCAAGAAUGGAGCUUUCAAGUAUCUAAAGGAUAGGGUUUGGAGUAAGGUUAAAGGUUGGAUGGAGAAGAUGUUGUCAUCGGCAGGGAAGGAGGUGCUAAUUAAAUCUAUAACACAAGCAAUCCCUGUUUUUUCAAUGGCCUGCUUCAAACUACCGAGGGGUCUUUGUCUGCAUAUCAAUUCGGUGAUCCGCAAGUUCUGGUGGGGGAGUAAGAAUGGAGAAAGAAAAACCUGUUGGGUAUCUUGGGAAGUAAUGACUCGCCCAAAGUAUGAAGGUGGUCUUGGAUUUAGGGAUAUAGAAAUCUUUAAUAUCGCCCUCCUAGCUAGACAAGCAUGGCGGCUUCUUACUUCUCCGAACACACUCAGCGCAAGGAUCCUUAAAGCUCGGUACUUUCCUGCCACCGGUAUUCUGGAGGAAACACUGGGAAACAACCCGUCCCAGAUAUGACGGGCAAUUAUGGAAGGAAGGGAAGCCCUCACGGUUGGUUUGAUCAGGAGAAUUGGGGAUGGCACAGAAACUAGCAUAUGGAACCAGAACUGGUUGCCUAAGGAGGCGUCGAUGCGUCCAAUAACAUGUCUGGCAAACCACAGACCAGUGAUGGUGUCGGAGCUAAUUGAUAACACGGCUGCUAAGUGGAAACAUGAGGUGAUAAGCGCAACUUUUCUUCCCAUUGAUGCGGAGGUGAUCUUAAAUAUACCACUUCCUACUAGACAAAGCUCGGACUAUUGGGCUUGGUCACAAAAAAAGAAUGGCCAGUUCAAUGUUCGAUCCUGUUAUCGCAUGCUAAUUACAACGAAAUUGCGAAGAGAAGCAUGGCUCGAAGGACGCGGAGGACCUGCUAACACUACUAGGGAAAGGAAGUGUUGGGACAAAUUGUGGCAUAUACCAGUACCAUCAAAGAUAAAAGUGUUUAUGUGGAGACUUGCUUGCUCUUCCCUCCCUACAGCAGAUGUGCGCCACCACCGGCAUAUGGCAUCUACAUCAUCAUGCGCGGUUUGUGGCGCCGCAGAUUCCUGGUUCCACUCGCUGGUUACAUGCACGAUGGCUCGUUGUGUAUGGGAACUACAUGAUCAACAACUGGUCGAACAUAUGCUGGCUACUGCCGAGCCUUCUGCACGCUCUUGGUUAUUCAGCAUGUUUUCAUCUGUCUCCCAGGACGAACUUACCCGCAUGACAGUCACACUAUGGGCGAUAUGGUAUGCAUGGAGGAAGCUCAUCCAUGAGGGCGAACACCAGAGUCCUGCGGCAACUUUUUCUUUUGUCACAAGGUUCAUCCAGGAGCUGUAGGGGACAAGACCAGAGAGGCUAACACAUGCGGGAUCGACACGGACAACAGUAGCAGGUUGGUGGCCACCACCGGCGGGGUUUGCCAAGAUCAACGUCGAUGGGGCGGUCUCCAAAACCCCACCUAUUGGUGUAGUGAGCGCAGUGUGUCGAGAAGAACACAACAAGACCUGGGUGCCUCGGCAGUGGUAUUUCAUGGACUAACCGAUCCGCACACCUUGGAAACAUUGGCAUGCUGUGAAGCACAAGCCCUAGCACAAGAUCUUCUCCUCCAACAUAUCGUCGUGGCUUCGGACUGUCUUACUGCAGUACGGGAGAUCAACUCGGGCACACAUGGGAUUACAGGCCAGAUAGUUCAAGAAGUUAAGGAUGGUAGUACAAACUUUCAGCUUAUUUCUUUCGUUCAUGAAGGGAGAGCCUCUAAUAGGGAAGCUCACCACUUAGCUAAGCAUGCUUUGCACUUGGGGGAAGGACGCCAUAUGUGGCUCCUACAACCUUUCAAUUCACAUGUAAUUCCUGAACUCCUAAUUGUUGAUCAAUAAAGCAAAGCAUUUACCCCUAAAAAAAGAGUAAAGAUAAUUUUUUUCCAGAAAUAACUCACGUCCAGACCGGCCCAGCAAGCAGCCACGUACGAGACCACCAGACUUGUCAGCCACGCUCCAUGUACCGCACGGCUGGUCGGCUGCCGUUUCGUUUCCUUAAUCCUCCCGUGAUUCUUCUCAAUUAAAUCGGAAAUCAGGAAGCGAAGAACACGCACAAUAAAACAGGGAGCACAGACAGGCAACACAGGACAGCACCGACGCAUAGCACUGAACCAGGAGCUGAGUUUGGGGAUCACGGACAUGCGGCGCAUGGCGGCACCGGCACACCUCACGGUGGCACCAAACGAGGAGCUGAGUUUGGGGAUCAAAUCAGCAAGAUCAUCAUUCAAAAGGUAAUUGUGAGAUCAACCUAUUCCUAAUUUAUGCAUCAGUUGAAAGAAGUUUCUUAAAAUUGAAGCUAGUGAAAAAAUAAUUAAGGUCAACAAUGUCUCAAGAAAGACCGAAUGGUUUGACUAUGUGUUGCAUUGAGAAGAAUAUGCUUGAUAGUAUUGAUCUUGACACUCGCAUUGAUGAUUUUGCGUCAAAAAAUGCACGGAAGUCUCGUUUCUCAUAAUUACUGAAGGUUAGCAUGCUAUUUUUAUAUGUUUUAGUAAAAAAAAAUUAGUUUCAUGAAUUUAUAACAAUUGUACAUGUUCAUGUAUCCAAUAUGAUUCUUCUCUUCGUUGGGCCCAUUGGUAAAGUUCGUACCGGGGCCUUUGAAAUCACAGAGCCGGUCCUGGCUAUCCACUAUGAAAAUAAUAACACAUAUUAAUAUUGUCUUCGUUCAAAAAUAUUUGUCUUAGAAUAAAUUAAGUAAAUGUAUUUAUAACUAAAAUAAAUUUAUAUAUAUCUAUUUUUAGGACAAGUUAUAUCAGCCUGUGACCCGCCUUAUCCGCAUAGUAAAACGGAGCAGGAGCAAGCGCUCGCUCGUAUUUCCUGUCCCGAUCGAUUGCCUGUUUUUCUCUAGGUCGACAUGGACACUCUACAGAGACUUCUCGAGCUCUCUCCGUUUGUCGGGACCACCCCGUCCACGUCAGGCAUAACUCCGUCGCGUCGUCGUUCUCGUCCCGGUGGCCCACGUUCGCCAUCCAGCCAACCACCGGAGUACACCCAAGCAUGCCGGAAUAAACAAGCCGAACCGCCCACAUCGUCCAUGGUUAGACCCAUACCGCGCACCGGACCAUGGUUUCCCGGCCGCCAGCUCCAGUCCAGUGCACCAAUAAUGGCCUUCCCGUCCAUAUAUACCCGCCCACCCCGCUUCGCACCACGGCACCAAACUCACCCACCUAUCCUCCUCCGAGCGAAACCAAGAGCAGCAACGAGCUGUGACUAGCAACCUUCUCUGAAUCNAAGUUCUGUUUGGAUCGACCAGAUCUGAAUGAAUUCUGAAGAAAACUGCCGUUGUAUUCUGAAUGUCUAGGUCUCUCCGGCCGGUGCUCUCGCUGAACCGGAGGAGGCAUCAGAUGCACCUUGGCGCCGCCUACGGGAGGCCGGGCAGGGCUGCAUCAGGCGGCACGAAGCAUAGGUGCCUGUAGCUUUCCCGCAUGUGUCCAUGGCAAGCUAAUUAAGCUGCUCGGAUGGGAGGAAAUUGUACUUGUUCUCGGUCGGUCUGUGCCGUGCCGAUGAACUGAUUUGGUUCUAAACGGAAACAGAAAAGUAAACGCCAUGGAAUCAAACGAUUCACAGUUUGUUGAUCUUCAGUUUGGGUCGCAUGUCUGCCCGCUCUCAUUUCUUAUCCCUGGCCC